rnacentral:lncRNA from 1 species
GCUUGAUUUGCAUGUAACUAUGUAAGAAAUACUUAAAAUCAUUAAUAUUUGUGCAGAAAAAAAUUAUUGUUUAAAUUAUUUUGACGAUAAUAAAUUAUAAGCUUCUUCAGUCUAAAGUGCUGGUAUAAUAAUAAGAACUUCAAAAACAAUCUUUAAAAAAUUUCACAUAAACAUAAAGCAAUCUAUUAUGAAAAAUGCACAAACAUAUGUUAUCCCUAUUGGAUUUGGAUUUGAGUUAGAAUCAAAAUCCGAACCCUAACCCUUCUUAACCCUCCCUAAUGCAAAUGAGGAUUUGAACAUAAACAAACUCGAAUAGGUUUGACCGCGAAACGCUUACCUCUAACUCAGUUAACAUUAGAUAUCGUACAUUGUUAUUUUAUUACACAUGACUUUAAAUAUGUGUACCGUGUCAAACAUUUGAAAAAGAAGGCCUUAUUAUUCUAAUGAAAAAGAGAAAUUUAGGAUGUACCGAACGAAGCAAAAAGAGAAAGAGAAAGAAUAACAUAUUAUUAUUAUCAUUAAUAUUUUUCACACUACAUGAUUGGCCAAUAAACACCAUAAUAAUUAGGAACUAGGAAGGCUAAUUAAAAGCUUAGGGUCGUACUUAUAAGCACAUAAUAUUGGAUUAGUAUAAAUGCGGAAAACAGAGUUGUAGUAGUUCCACGGAGUAUCCUGAUUUUGUUAUACUUUAGUUUCCAUUUUGCGUACAAGGGGCGUAGCACCAAUUCCAUCUCUCCAGGGCGGUGGUUACCUUAGUCCUCGGCGGAGCACCACACCGCGGGGGUCUCUUCCUCCUCCUCCUCUUCUUCUUCUUCUUCUUCUUCUUCGUCCUCGUCCUCUUCGCCGGAGAUGGCCGACGACGGCGGCGGAGGCGGCGGCGGAGGAGGGGCGGCGGAGGCGUAUCGGAGCUACAAGGCGCUGGUGGAGAGCGCGGAUCGGAAGUUCGCGCGGGUGCGGGACCUGCCCCCGUACGGGCGCGGCGCCCACCACCUGCUCUACUACCGGAAGGUGUUCAAGGCGUACACGCGGCUGUGGCGGUUCCAGCAGGAGCGGCGCCGCGAGCUCGUCGCGGCGGGGCUGCGGCGGUGGGAGAUCGGCGAGAUCGCGUCACGGAUCGGGCAGCUGUACUACGGGCAGUACAUGCGCACCAGCGAGGCGCGGUUCCUCCUCGGGGCGUACGUGUUCUACGAGGCGAUCCUCAACAGGGGCUACUUCGACGCCGCCGCGCGGGGGGAAACGCCGUCGCCGCGGCAGCGCCCCGAUCUAGGGCUCCGGUACAAGGAGCUGCGGUUCCACGCCAGGUUCCUGAUCGUCGCCAUGCUUCUGAACCGCGCCGAGGCGGUGAGGCACCUCGCCGAGCGGUUCCGAGCGCUCUUGGAAGAGUCCAAGGCCGCUUACCCGGUAAUUACCUUUUCUUUUAGCUCUUAUUAAUGUCUUAAUUUGAUCCGUAUUUUUUUUUUUUUUUUUUUUUUUUUUAUCUUUGUUGAAAAAUUUAGUUCUUUGUUGAGUUGGUAAAGGAUUUAGGGUGUUGUGAUUGAAGAUGAGCACUUUUAUUUGUUUUCAAGUUGCAACGAAGAAUCGAAUACUCGAUUAAUCGCUCAAGAUUCACCAUUUUGUUAGUGUUCUUACUCUCUGAACUUGCAGUUCGCUCCGUAAGCAAGUUUAGUAGCCAAUAAUUGUGAACUUAUUUAUGCGUUAUAGAAGUAGGUUGCUGGUUGGUGCUGCAAGCCACGUACUUUAGCAAUUUGUCUCUUCAUAUUUUUAAUUAGUAGUUUCACCUACUUAUUAUUUUAAGCAGCCGACUACUUAUUUUGAGCAGCCAAUUUCCCUAGUCGUUAGUUGUUGGUACUAAAUUCAAUGCUUCAGAGAUGGUUCAGUCUCCUGAGUUCUUCAAUUUUAACAAACUAUCAUUUCAAUCCCUCAAUCAUGAUGAUGGGCCAACAAAACUUAAAAGUUCUACUAUUAUAGUCAUGAAUUAAAGUUUUAAAAUUAAGUACUGUUCACUAUAGAAUAUAGGGCGCUCAGCUGCUGUCUUAUUCAUCACUUUAUCUUGAGUCUAAUAUGAUGAAAGCGUAACUUUCUUUUGUAUAACAGUAAGCAAGGUCUUGAACUAUAGGAAAAAUAACAAUUUGUGUAUGUAAUCCUAGAAGUUGUUGUAUAAGCAGGUUGAUACGCCAGUUUUUUAACAACAUUGGGAAAGAAGAAUGCUCUGGUGGAAGGCUGGAAGCUACAGAAGGUCCUGAUGACGAAAGCAGCCUGAUAGUUUUCCUGACAUAUUCAAUAUCUGAGUUGAGAUAUAACUCAGCAAAUAGCAAUUCUGGGCAAUUGUUUUGACCUUUUUAUAUUUUAAAGUAAGGAGACUAAUCUUUUGGCUCAUAUUGCUGAGCUGUAGGUACUGACAGCAAACUCAAUCAGAGAGACUAGUAUGACGUCUAGUUAUAGCCAGCGUUUCAGCCUUUUUCAUGUGACACAAGACAGCAGUGCGGGCUUGCUUUUGGACCUAGAGAAGAAGUUUGCAUCUCUCCGAAGUGGAGGAAGUGUAUUUAGCGCUCUUAGUUUUCCUAAAUUUGCCAGAUAAGAUCCUUUUAGUUAGAUACUUUAGAAAAGCAAAUUAGGUGAAUUUUGAUUCACAUUCAUCGAGGUUGUGGCAUUUGUUGGUUCCAGUGUAUGUGACUCAAACUUCUUGGCCCAAGUUUGUUGAGUCAUUGACAACUUGAACCUUUAUAGAAUUCACAUGUUUAUGCCGAAGAAAUGAUACGGUAAAUAAAGCAGAGUUCCAAUAUUCACAAAUCCAGAAGAUCAAAGUUGAUAUAGCCAAACGGCCGAUUGGUUGGAGUUGAGGCUACUAAGCCCUUCAGUGUUUUGGCUGAUUCAGAACCUGAUGUAGCCUACGAAGGAAGAUAAUCGUCUGAGGUGGAGACUACUAAUCCUGUACCUGCUGUUGGAAUGCAGAGGCCAGAAAGUCAUUUUAUGAAUGGAUGAUAUUACUUGAACAUCGACACAGGAACUUCUAUACACAAUAGUCAAAGUCUCGAACUUCUAUUUCAUUGGACAGAUUCUGUCCAAGCAAAAAGUGAGAUAACAUACAUUUUUAUCUUGUUUGCUAACUUGUCAGCAUGACAUAACUGUCUGCUCCUUUUCUUUAGGUUUACUAUGUCAUACAAUUGCUUUAAUUUACAUCAUUCUGUUUGGAUGCUGUGAUACCCCUGUAUUCGCAUCAGUGAUUACGUACUUGAUGUACAUGUGUGUAGUUUGCUGUGCUUUUUGACUUUUUAGCUAAUAAUAUUUGUGAGAGUGAUCCUUUUUGUUGCAAAUCUUAAUUCGAUUGUACAGCUCUAGGUUUUUUUCCAUGUUUAUAAAAUAUAAUUGCAUACAUUAUUAUUAUCUAUGUUCGGCAGGGAUCAAUUUAACUAAUUAUUAGCAAGUUCCAUAGUUCUAGACAAUUUCAUAUUUUGUCUAGUUUGACCUAUUGAAUGUUAUUGCCAGCCUCUCUCACAACAGAAUAUUUUACUAUGCAGGAGACCAACUUUAAAGAAUGGAAGCAAGUGCUGCAAGAAAUCACAAGGUUCUUGAAAGCAGACAGAGCUUUUACAAAUUCCAGGCCUUUGAGAUACAAUGUGUUGUUUGAUUCUCAUCCAUCUUCGCUUCCAUAUAUUGCACGGUUACAUUCGAGGAGGGUGUUGAGGCUUCAGGAUGCUCUGUUGACAAGUUAUCGGCGAAAUGAGGUAUGCUGAUUGAUACCAAUGAAGCCAUGAUAGCCUGUUUUGUGAUAAUCUUGUUCUUACGAUCCAGUUUAAAAAAGCACCAUUUCAAUUUGGAUUUCGUUAUUUGCAGUGUAAGCAGAAUUGUAGAAAAUCCACUCGAAUCUUUUCAUGGAGUGGAUUAUACAGAUUGUGAACCAUCCAAUCCAAAUUGAAUGAUCACCAUAUGUUUGUUUUAUUAUGGAAAAAUAGUCCCCUUAAUUUCAAAAAGAAAGAUAGUCCCCUUGAACUAUGAUAAUAAACAUAGCUCAGAAAUCAGAAUACAGAAAAGUAACUAAGAUUAAAAUCCCGAGAUCUAAAAGCAACUACGAAUAAGUUAAGAUGGAAAAUGAUAAUGGAAAUUCAGGUACCAGCAGAAAUGAUUGAAAUGUUGAAUAUUUUGAACAAAUGACCAAAUUAUCUAGCAUUCGAAUCACCAAAUGUAGCAUUUCUGCAACCCACAACAAAUGUAAUGACAAUCUAACACAAGUUAGUUAUGUGUCUCAUCACUUUUCUAAAUUUACAUGGCCCCAUUGUAAACGAAGUCUUUAACUCUUUAAUCAUCGUAUAAUAUUUAAUUUCUCUUGAUAAAUUCAAUAUUGCAGGUUUUCUGCAACUAGUCUAUGGCCCUUUUCUUACUGGCUUUUAUUUUUUUUGAACUUCCAGGUCAAGUUUACAGAGCUUACUUUAGAUACAUUCAGAAUGUUGCAGUGUUUGGAAUGGGAACCCAGUGGAUCUUUCUGCCAAACUCCUACAAAAGAGACUGCUGAAAAUGGUGGUUUCACUGAUGAGAGUGGAGCAUCUGGACUGAUUGAUAUAAAUCUUGCUGCGGCUGAUAUGACAGAUCCAAAUCUGCCUUCGAAUCCUCGAAAGGCUAUUAUUUAUCACCCUUCUAUCUCUCAUCUAAUUGCGGUGAGUGUAGCAACUGGAUACUAACUGUUGUUUUAAUUUUUCCCAGGUAGUGAACUGGUACAAAGCUGAACCUUGUCAAACUGAAUUAAAUCAUUUAGUUUGGUUUAACUAGCAGUUGGUUUGGGUUUUGGUUUUUAUAUUACCCGGGCCACUCAAUUUGAUUUAAUGUAGUUUUUCACCCAAAAUUGAACUUUACCAACUGAUGUAAUUGUGAAUACUUGUUUGUUAAAGCAAAUUACAUAAAUUUCAAGUUUCUAGCUGUCGCCUGAAAAAUCAUAAUACGACUGUUAGUUGAUCGGAGCUAGUUAAAUGUGAUUAGAAGAUGAUAUACAUCUCCUUCGUCUGUAUGAAUAGUAGGUACUAAAGCAGCGAUUUGAUUGACUCCACAAUUAUAUACCACAUAUCAUGCUUGUGUCAAACAUGUCUGUGCAAAAAGUUAUUUGUCCUGUAGCUAUUUGCAGUAGCUUUUUCUAAUAUGAUUGUUCUUUGACUGUCAUAAGGUUGUAUGCUGUAUCUACAGGUCAUUGCAACAAUUUGUGAGGAGCUCUCUUCAGAUGGUGUUUUACUAAUAUAUAUAUCAGCAUCAGGUUGUUGUUAGUGCGGUUGUUUCUUCUUUAUCCUUCUGCUUAUUUGAGUGGGGAUCAUUCCAUUUACUAAUUUUAUGAUACUUUGCAGGAAAAGCUGAUCACUCUCUUGGUGGUAAACCAAAUACAAAUGUCUCUUCAGAAAGUUAUCUAUAUCUAGGUUCUCGAGGAAAUGGAGGUAUGUAACUGUUGUCAAACCCAUGAUAUACUAAACAAUGUGAAACACAUCUUGGUCUGAUAGUUGAAAUUGCUAGUCCUUGUACUUUUUUAGCUGACAUGGUGUUUUCCUGCUUAUAAGCUCGUAGUCUUUCUUGUUAGCAGGGUUGAACAACCUCUAUCCCGAAGAUCUGAUUCCUUUUACUCGAAGUCCGCUUUUCCUUAUUAUCGAUAGUGACAAUAGCCAAGCAUUCAAGGCAGGUUUGUCAAAACUUGUUCUCUAUGUGCUAGCAAACAUUCUCAAUCAUGAACGUCUCUUUUUAUGAUCAAAUCUUGGAAACAUCACUUCUAAACUGGUGUUACUCCUACUUAUAUUUCUGUUUUAGAGGUUUAGAUCUUUUUACGGCUGAUAAUUAUGUGACCACAUGAUGUAAGGAGAAGCAUUUGUAUUUAGAAAAAUCUAUGGUUAUGAUAUAUAUAACUGCCUCAAUAACCCUUCGAGCUUCAACUGUUUUACAUGAUAGACUUUAGUAUUGACAACAAAAGACAUGGGUGCCUGGAUCUCAUUUCAGUGGCUUAACACUUUUGUUUUGGAUACUGUCAAACUGUAUAUCAUAUAAGAGAUGAUAGGCGUUGAACCACUUCAAUUGCAAAAUAUAAUUUGACACGAUAUCAGUGCCCACUUUCUUUUGUUGCACUUUUUGUCAAUUUAUCAUCACAUCAUGUUGAAGAGUCAACAUUAGCAUUGCUACUUCAUAUUUGGUGGGCUACACUAUAUUGCCUAUCUACACCAGUUUAUACAGAGAACUUUAUUAUCUUUUUUUUCAAAAGUCGAUUGGUUCUCGUACUUCCUAUAAUAUAAGUUAGAAGGUCGCCCUGCCUUAAGUUGUUUUCUGUUUCUAUUGUAGUUACUAUAGGAAGAUGAUAGGAAGUGAUAAUGUGGUUUAGCGCAUUCGUACUUCGUAGCCCUUAUUCUAAAUUUAUUUACCCUUCUUCUCUUGGGACGUUUUUCCUUUUUUUCAAAAAAAUAAAAAAGAAGAAGAAGCUCAAGCAAUCAACAAUCCUCUCUUGCAUAUUGUACUAUUACCAGGCCAUACAUGGUGCUGAAAAGGGGGAAACAGCUGCUUUGCUUCUUUCUCCUGGGAGAACAAUAACGUCUACUGCAGAUUGUGCUAAUAAUGGAAGCCAAUUUACGUACUUCCUAACUGCUCCACUGCAAGCAUUCUGCCAAUUAGUUGGCUUCUCUUCAGAUAUAGAAGCUGUAAGCUUAUUCUAAGCAUUUAAUAUCUUUACAUCAAUAUAUAUGCUUGCUCUGAUUUUAUUUUUCCUCGCGUGAUUUCAGAAUGUAUAUAGCAGUGCCGAGACGAUACUCUCAUCCGCUUUGGCUGAAUGGGAAGUCGUACUGUGCACAUCAGAUGAUCUGAACCUGGUCUGGGGACAAGUUUUACCUGAUCCAUUUCUGAGACGCCUAAUUCUUAGGUAUUUUGUUCUCAUUCUUCUUUCAUGCAAUAUUUCUUAGUAAGUUUUCUUCAUCUUAGACAUUUAUUCUUUACCACUUGAUAUAUUUCUUGAAAAUAACUCAAAAUUUUGCCCCAUGAGUAUUAAUCUAGAUCUUUUUCCUUUCCUUCAUAAAACUUGCUAAGAUGGUGAUAUAUGUGACAUUGUAUUCCUUGUUUGACUCCUUAGCAUAAAUAUACCUUGCAAAUUGAUCUAUAAACAAUAUUUUUAUAGUCAUUUACAUCAAAUUGAUGCAGAAGCAUGGAUUUAAUAGAGUUGGGAAGUUCGAAUGCUUGGCAGAAAUGAAUGUCCUAAUCAGAACACUUUGUCAUUGAUAUUCACAAAAAAAGAAAAAACCGUUAACUCAUAUAAAUGUGCUGAAAUUAAUGUUCCCUUGUGUAUACAUAUAGGAAUUAAAAUUCUUCAUCCAACUUACUGAAUAUGAGUUUUUUUUUCCUUUUUUUUCACAAGUAAUCUUCUUCUCAUGUAAUUCUAACCAGGUUCAUAUUCUGCCGAGCUGUGCUUUCUCUCUUCUGCUUUCAAGAGGGUAUUCAACAUCUGCCCGAUUGCUUACCGAGCCUUCCAGAAACAGUCUCUCCAAAUUCUGCAGUAAUUCAGACCAACAUCCUUUUGCUUACAGAAAAACUUGGGGUCGCCAACCGUUUUAACUUUCGAGAUAUUGUCCGCGACUAUACAAGGAACAGAUGAUUUGGAAUUCGUAUGUGCAAUCUUCUGUAGAUAGAAUCGCAGUAAAUAGACCCCCACUAUUUGUUGAUUGUUUUGUGUCGAUACGCGGGAUCAUGGACUCUGCUGCGAGCUGUGCUUAGUUAGAGGCAAACCAGCGAGCAGAUUCGGGAAAUAGAGUUGGUAUGUAUCAUCAGAGUAUGUUCGUAGUAUUUAUCGAAUUGUAGGGAGUCUAUGAUUUUUAUUGUUGAUAAAAGGAAACAGUAAAAGAGGCUAAAAAUAGACGUUUUUGUCUGUCCUGUAAUGAGCUACUUUUCCGGGGAGAGAUGAUUUCAGUUUUUUAAGGAGGCUUCUGCUGCAAAUCUUUUUUUCUUUUUUUUUUUUUGAGAGAGAGAUAGGUACCAUUCUAUCAACUUCGUUUAUUUCAUUUAGAAAUAAAUUUAGCUGAAAAUAUGAAUCAAUUAGGAUUCGAACUUGGAAAAAAAAAAGGGAUGCACGCUUCUGCUGCAAUUCUCUUUUAUUCAAAGUGAAUUAUUUUUUGGUUUCCCGGUUUCUUGUGUUGGGUUCAUGCUUAAGAAUCUAUGCUGGUCCAGUGGCCUUUUCGAAUAUGUAUAUAUAUAUAUAUAUAUAUAUAUUUGCUGUAUUAAUCAUAAUAGCUUUUAAAGUUUCUUCAUACUACAAUGCCGUACCAUAUUAUGAUUCAAAGUUUAUCAACAUUUUUAUAGCUGGAGUGUUAUGUAACGAUUCUUCUCUUUUCCUCUGUUCAAAUAGAGUAUACACCUGUUUAAUUAUUUUUUUAAAAAAGGAUUAUACUAUGAUCUGUAAGUCAAACAUCGUCACUUUUUACAUUGUUGUGAGUUAAUAACUUGAAAUUUUGUUAUUAAAAGAUUACUAUUGCUUAUUCACAGGCCAUUUAAAUAAUAUAUUAGAUAACACAUAUAAAAUUAUAUUUUAAUUUAAAGAUGCUAAUUAUUAAGUAAUAAUGCAACAUAUAUAACCUACCAAAACAACCUCAUCUUCUACGGCACUAGGCAGCGACAUGACAGUGGCGGUGACAUUUGUAAUGAAAAUAAUAUAUAUAUUAAUAAGAGUAGAAUAGUCUUCUUACUCCAAAAUAAUUAUAAUUAGAUAUUUAAUUUAUGAUUAAUUAUAAAAUUCUAACGGAUGCUAACAACAUAAGUAUUUUUACAGACGACCUUAAACUUUGUAGGGACAUAUUUAGAAAUGCGGUCUUUGCAGAAAGAGAAGAAUAGCAAACUAAAAAAUUUAAACUAAAAAUUUUGAAUAUUAAUAAUUAAGUGCUUAAGUAACUGUGCCCGUGUAUUAUUUGUUGGACUACAAAUUCUUAUACAAAACUCAUAGGGCGUGUUUGGUUUUGAAAUUGGAGUCGGAAUCAGAAUCGAAAUCAAAAUAAGUUGGAAUCGGAAUCGGAAUGACUCAUUACCUAAUUCUGUUUGGUUUAUCACCUGAAUUGGAAUCGAAAUAAAUCAUUCCCAUUGUCGGUGUUUGGUUUAGGUGGAUAUAAAAAACGUAAUCAAAUUAAUAUACUAACAUUAUUUUUAUAAUAUAUUAAUUUAAAUUCAAAUUAAAAAAUUAAAUAUUAAAAAUUUACAUAGAAAUUUUGAAAUAAUGUCAAAAUUUUAAAUCCAUUUUUUUAAAAAAAAUUAAACUUUGAAGUUGAGUGAAUAAUUCAAAAUAUGAAACUAAAUUUUGAUUUAUUCAAAUUAAGACUAAAAUUAUAAUUUUAAUUUUAAUUUGAAUCCAUAAAUGUAAUUUAAAUUUGAAAUAAAAUUUGAAUAAAAUUUUAUAUAAAUUAAAAUUUAAUUUAAAUUCAUAAGUUAGAUUCGAAAUACUUGAUUAAAUUUUAAUUUUUAAUUUAAGUUCAAAUUAAAAUUUAAAAUUAUAUAUUUAAUUUUUAAAUUUUAGGUCAUAUUUUAAUUAAAAAAGUUGAAAAAACAAAUUUAAUCCGAAUAAAUAUCUAUUCCGUCCGGAUUCAACUUCCAAUCCGACCUCUUAGGCCAGAUUGAAAAAAGAGGUGAUUGUGAGAUUCCUAUUUCACUCGGGAAUCAGAAUCGGAAUGGAACUCUCGCGUACCAAAUACCCACAAAUGAAUUCACCCAUUCUGAUUCCGAUUUCAGGGUGAAAAAGAAGCAAACCAAAUAUGCCCAUACCCAUAUAGAGUAACAAUUUAAAAGACCAAAAGAUAUUUUGAAUGGGAAAAGCCCUAAGGAGCAACUAGCCUGCAAGACAAUGAAUUUUCAAUUUUUUUAAAAUUUAAAACUGGUCAUAUUCAAACGUGCUAAAUUUCCUUGAAAGUACUGAAUCUAUAUCAAAAAGAACGGGGAGGACCAAUAGACUAUAGACACAUGGCACAUAGCAAUGAUGCUGAGUGGUCAAUCAAAAAAAUCUAGGCCAAUUUUAUCUUCCCACUAAAUUUUAUUUAUCUUUUUAAUUUAAUGUUUUUUGUUUGUAAAUUUGAAAAUUUUUUGUUAGAUUCAAAUGGCUAUAAGAGAUACGCUCUACCUUGUAUUUUUGAUUGAAAUGAUUGUAUCUUUUAUGAUCGUUUAUUUUAAUCCUAAUAUAAUUAUUAAAAUUGCUAAAAAAAAAAAAAACUCAAUUAAAUACUUAUUACGAAAAAUAGUAAAGGAUCAAUUCCAAAUAAGUUAAAGUGUAGAGGGUGUCUAUACAUUUUUUACCGAAAAAGUUAGUACGUUCCUUUCAAUUCACGUAAACUUAAAAAGAAAAAAAAAGAAAAAGAAAAAGGAGAAAAGCCCAAAAAGGAUUUCACGGUAAACCUCACGAGAAACGCCUAGCGAUCCGUGGACGAACUCAUCAGCCAAUAGAGACACAGAACAAGGGCUAACGCGAUCCACCCACCAUCUAAAAUCCGAUCUAGGCCGUCACUUGGGAAACGGGAAAACACAGAAAGGGACAAUCUCUACCGUCCGUUUUCAUUAACACAACAAUGAUUCUCUGAUCCGUAUGAGCCGUUGGAUUGUCCACGAGGAGCCGAUCUCGCUGACCCGUUCUUCGAAGGCCUAUAAAUAGGUCUCCACCGCGUGCAAGUCACAACUUUUGAUCGCUCGAGGGGGAAUUAGGGCUCGUUGAUUCUCUGAAAAGCUUCUUCGAGAGGUACGCCUCGGUCCUGUUCUUUUUUUUUUUUAAUUUCUUUUCUUUUGCUGUCUUUUUCAGUAAUUAGAUGUGUUAAUUUUUUACUGUAAUUGUGAUUUUUUCGUGGAAUUCUUUUGUAUUUUUUUUAAUCAUGAUUGAUCUUUGAUUCGUUAUGCUUCGUUUUUGUUUUGGUGAUGUGAUAGGUGUUUUUCUAAUCGGGGAUUUUGAUUUUUGUGUCGUCCUUGCAGUGUUGUAGAUUCGUCUUGGUUUUGUAAGUUUUAUGUUGAUUUGGCUUUUGUUUCUUUUCCUAGUUUUAAGGAUUUCUAUUAUUAAUCUUAUCUCGAGGAACAUUGUUUGAAUAAGGUGCGAGAUAGUUUUGCUGAGGUCUACUAUCAAAGAUUAAUGUAUGCAGUGUUGAUUUGGUUUUAGAUGUAUGUUCGCGCAAUCUCAUUGUUUCAGUUUGUAGAAAGAAGUAUCACUUUUAGAAUUUUUAAUAGAUUAUGUAUCUGACGAUGAGGUAGAUCUUUAUCUCACUAUUUUGUAGAAUCGCCGUGAAAGUAUUACACUGUUGCAUUAAAAUCUUAACUCAAUAACAGUUUUGCGAUCUGCUAUAAUACCUGUGGUGUAAAACUUCUUGAUGUCUCUGCAUUGAGUGAAAUUUUAAGGGUGGGCUAUACCCUUGACACAAUAGCACCUGUUUAAUUCAAUUGUAAUUUUGAUCAAUAGAGAAUCUCUCACAGUUCAAUCACAUAAUAACAUAUUAGAUCAAUUAAGUUAAAUCAAUGGUAUCAAGGUUACUUGAUGAGGAAGAAAGACGGUAAUUAUUUUUUGGCUUGUGUGCGGGAAAGGUUUGAUCCAUCAGAAUUCGUUUGUAGGCGGUAGGAGUAUUGCAGUUUUUAUCUUAAUUUGUUUGCAAGAUGAUUGUCUUCUAUCUGCUAAACUAGUUUAUGUGAUUUGUUGGUCCGGCAGAUGGCUCGUACCAAGCAGACUGCUCGCAAGUCCACCGGAGGAAAGGCUCCCAGGAAGCAGCUUGCCACGAAGGUUUGUUAUCCAGCAUGUUUUAUUGGCUAAAAUGUAUCGCAAACACCCUGAAUUGCGUGUGACCUAAAAAACAAAUCAAACCUGCGAACAUACAUCUUAGCUUUUUUAAUGAUGUAACAGUAUUUACUCAGUUGCAUCUGAAAUAACUUUGCAUGAACUUUGCAGGCGGCACGCAAGUCUGCUCCUACAACUGGUGGAGUGAAGAAGCCUCACCGCUACCGCCCUGGAACUGUUGCUCUUCGGUGAGUGCAAUUAGAGGUUUUAAAUUAGAGGUUUUAGGUUUUAUCUGUAUAUUUGCUCUUGUUUUCCCCCUUUUUUUUUUUUCAGAUGCAUAAUUAGUUGUUUGCUUUCCUCAGUGAGAUUCGUAAGUAUCAGAAGAGCACUGAGCUGCUCAUAAGGAAGUUGCCUUUCCAGAGGCUUGUCAGGGAAAUUGCACAGGACUUCAAGGUGAGAUCUUGCUGUGAUAAGAACAUCAUCUGCUGUUUAUGAUCAAAUAUUGUUCUUGGAGAGAAUUACGCAAAAGCCCUGGGUAUCAGGGAUACACGUAUUUUCUUAUUUCAACUGCUUCAUUUAGAUACUGAUUGAUGAUACUCUUCUUAUUGCCCUGUAAUAUUAUUGCAGACUGAUCUGCGGUUCCAGAGCCAUGCAGUGCUUGCCCUUCAGGAGGCAGCGGAGGCGUAUCUUGUGGGUCUUUUUGAGGACACCAACCUGUGCGCCAUCCAUGCCAAGCGUGUAACCAUCAUGCCCAAGGAUAUUCAGCUGGCCAGGAGGAUCCGUGGUGAGAGGGCUUGAGCUCUCUCUGUCUGUCUCUAGUCUCAUGCUUAUGUUUCUCGUGUAGUAUCAGUUUGUCGAACUGAUUUAUGUUUUUGUUCAGUUGGUAUUUAUGCAACAUGGACAAUGUACGUUUUAAAGUCAUUAGAGUGGCGUAGGAUGCUAAUGUUGAACCUUUUGUUAUUGGUUGGUGAUAGGUCAUCCAUCCCCUGGUGGAUGUGUAUUGAAUUAUUAAUGUGUUCUAUGUGGUUUUAUGGAUUGGACUGUUUGGCUUGUGUAUCUGUGGUCGUGAGUUAUCAUUUUCUUUUGAAACCUCUGCUCUGUAGCAAGAAAGGUGCCAGUUCUAUACUAAUUCAUGAAAAGUUUUAACUGACGAUGGUGUUCAAUUUUUUUUUUCCCCACCUACAUUGCAGUUUUAUUCAGACUAAUGUAAUAAUGGCUCUCUUUAUAUAGCUGGUGGGUGAUUUAUCUUAUUUGCAAAAAGGAAAAAUGACCAUAAAGAUUGAAUGUGGUCUGUCAUGCUAGAUUUUUGUUUGCCUUUUCGUGAUUGCUGGUCAUCGUACACUCUCUGGUUAAAGUAAGAAAAUAUGCUGAAGGUGUUUAUGCAUUCAAGCAUGGGUAAUGUUACUACAUCAAAUUUAUUUAUGAGGUAACAUCUUCUGGAAGUGCAAUUAGUGUACUUGUAAACAGUUUACAAAUGGCCUAAACAUGAUGCAUCGUUGGUCGAGAGCAUCACAAUUUGACUCUUGUUAAGAUCGUGGGCUAAUAUGUUCUUCGAGGACUGGUUUACGACUACUUCUCAUUCCAACCCUGCGUCUCUACCGAAAAAGCAAAAGAUAAGGUUAUUAUUAUACACAUUAUUAGUUUUUACCUCAAAGAAACAAACAAGUCUGAUAAAUUUCCUGGCAAAAUCAUGUAGGACUUGUUUGGCAUGAUAAUGACAGUUUGAUAAUAGCUCAUCUAAUGCUAUAAGAUAAAGCAGAGUCAGAACGAAAUCAUGUAAAGACAAGCUUCUAAAUCACAACUGACCGUGAAAUUUUUUUGCAAUACCAAUGGGAGUCCUAAUUGAUGAAUUUGUAUUCAGGCUUGGUUUUGGAUUCAAUCUGGACAAUUAAGUCCAUCUCCCUCCCUCCCAAGCUUCUCUUGUAUGCGGACUUGAUUUGAAUUUAUGGAAUAAUCACAAAAAAAAUAGUAUAUCAGUUUUGGAUUCUCACAGCACGAUUGAUUUGAAUUUAUGGAAUAAUCAUAAAAAAAAUAGUAUGUCAGUUUUGAAUUCUCACAGCACGAUAAUCUAUCGGGACAACCCCUCUCGUAACGAGAAGAGAAAACAUUGCUUCCGCAGGAUACAAAGUGAUUUCAGAGGGGAUGAAGCGGCUGACAAACUUAUAAAUCUCCCUCAUUUUUUACUUUUUAUCCAAAGAUGGCUCAACUGCAAGUCAUUCAUGUAAGAAAAAAAUUAAAUUUAACCAAUAAAAAUUAUAAAUUCAUUUAAAAAAAUAUAAAUCAUUUGUAAAUAUUAUAGUACUGUUAUAUGUCAGAUAUCAGCAAUUACUAACGAAUUAUGAUAACGCAAGAGAAAUUUAUCGGACAGCGCGGCUUCUUCCAGCAGUCAAGUUUGCUCAGAGGCUAAAAUAUAGGACAAAAAUAAUUUCCCAAAUAGAAACACGCCUGAGGAAUGGGUCUCUUACCGGUCCAUUUCUCGACACCAGAAGGCAUCCCAUCCGGCACUGCCCCUCCCAAUAUUAAACAUUUCCCCUCCUAUAAAAACCCCACCCUAUUUCCUCUCAACAUUCAAGCAAUCACCAUCGUCGAGCCAAUAAAAAGCAGUUAGAGCAUACCACAGGUGAGAGCCGCAUCCCAAUGGCAUUUCUCGGCAACAAGGCGGUGCUGGCACCUGCUUCUGGUGGCCAUGGUGAUGGCUGCGUCGGUGGGGCCGUCGACCCAAGAAGAGUCCCAGUGCUUCUGCGACUGCAUGAAGACGCAGUGCAUGAAGAUCCAAGGCGCCACCAAGGAGGGGUGCGCCAGAGCCUGCAGCGACGGCUGCACCGACGCUGGAUUCCUGGGCCAGUCCAAACCCAAUGAGCACUGUGGUUACUAAUUAUGUUGGCUCGCCGCGGCUUUGCCUCCUCUUCUCCUUUCUUCUUCCUGUUGUUUUUUUCUUUGCUCGCAUAUUACUUCGCCGUUGUAAGCUCGUUUGUACUGUUGUUUGCUGCCAGUGAUAUCUCUAUUCAAAAAUUUGUUAUCUUAUUUGAUCAAACUUACCAAAGGAAAUGGACUUUUUAGCCCCAAAAAGCUGCCUCAAGAGCGUUUUACACAAGGAAGAUCAACAUAAAAAAAAAAAAAAAAAGCUUUUAAAAACGAAAAAAAAGAGCUCGAAUUUAAAGCUUUCGACCUCUUGAAAUUCAAAUAAUAGAAUAGCUCGGUUACAGAAAUGAACAAGCGACAAUUUAUACACUGAGUGUGGAUUUUACCCCCUCAAGCAUCUACCAUUACGGCUGCAUAGGGGGCGCGUAGCAAAAUAUCAUUUGUUGAAUGUAACUUAAGCCUCUUGGUUGUUGUAUACCACACAUAUUAAAUUAAAUUUAAAUUUUAGAGUAUCUACAUUUCAGAUGUUGAAUUUGUAGAAAUCAAAUAAGAGCCCAUUCUCCAAUAUUUUCCUUUAAGAGUGAAAGAUGACGUAUUAUUUUGAAUUUGAAACCACAGAUAUCAACUACCAGUACGCAAGGCAUAAUUAGUUCUAACAUUAAUUUUUGAAAUUACUUAUGCAUACAUAUUGUUUUAUUUAUACAUAAAACAAAUCACAUACAUAAGUUAUUUAAUACCGUAAAUCAAUGGUAGGCGGUGUACAAAUAUAGGUUUACACUAUGUUCAUGCAAUGGUGUUCUCACUCGGCCACUGCAACAUUAUUUUUCUACAAAAAGUAAAGACUACUCUAAAUGGGUCCCUCAACUUUAACUUUUUCCAGUUAAAACUUCUUCAUUCACUCAUAGCAAAUAAAACUAGAAUAGCUAAUGCAAUUAUUAAAUUUAAUUAGCUUUUUAAUUAAAAUAAUUAGAGUAAUUUAAUUUUGAAAAUAUUAAAAGUAAGGAAAAUGUUAACAAAAAAGUGAUAAAUUCUGGAAGCAAAUUCAAAUUACCUAUAUUUGAGGGCUUCCAUAUGUUUAUAUUUUCAUAUAAUUAAAAUUUAUUUUGAUAAGUGCAGCUUAUAGAAUUUUAAUAAGGGAAAACUUCACUUUAUCACUUUAGUACCCUAUGGUUUAAAGUGUAACAUAAUUAAAUUGAUAAAGUGAUACACUUUAAACAACAGGGUACUAAAGUAAUAAAGUAAGAAAUCACAUGGUACUAACUUGAUUCACUUUAAACCACGGAAUACUAAAAUGAAAAAGUGCGAAAUCACAAAAAUUUUUUUAAAAGUUUUCCCUUUUAAUAAUUAUGUAUAAAAAAGUAUUAAUUUAGAAAAUUAUCAAUUACUCUUCAAAUGGCUCCGAAAUCAAUAAUCAAUAAUAUAAAAGAAUACGUGGUUUACAUAUUAUUUUUUAUAAGAAGUAUAGUAAUUAAUGAUUUUUGAUAUGUAGCCCUUGUAAAUAUUAUAUGCCACAUUUAACAAACUAAAUUUUAAAGAUAAAUAAGCUUUCAAAUAUAAUAUUAGUCUAUCUUCUGUGCUUAUAAUUUUUAUCACGGGAUGAUUUGGUGGAACCAGAUAAUAAGCAAAAAAACUAAGAUUAAAAAAAACUAAAUACAAAAAUUUAUUGAAGGUUUACAUAUAUAAAAACCUCGUCUAAUUAUUACGUAAUAAUAAUUACUAUCAUAGUUUACCUAUGUGAUUACCCAAAUAUAAAACACUCACAGCAAAUCACGGGCCAUUUCACUUCAAGCAUAGUAUGGUAAACAACAAUAUAUAUGAGAUUGUAGAAAGAAGAGAAAUUUCAUAAGCCAAAUAUAUUAAAUAGGGAAGUAUAUAGCAUUCUCAUGAUGCAAACAUAACAGCAGCACACCUAAUAAAGCAGCAAAAGAAAUGGAAAACCGAGUACAGGAGGCACUUCCGUCUCAAGCCACAGGAAAAAGAAGAAAAAUAGAGAGGAAAAGGUACUUGCAAUUGAUAAAUCUGCAAGCUGGAACAUUUAAAAACGAACCGGAGCAGCAGAACACGCCCAUAAAUAAUAAGCUACUACUGCUCAUCAUCGGCCUUGGUUGCCUCUUUGAUAUCAUCAACCCCAUCAUCCUGUAUACGAAGCACGAAAUGAAAAACCAGAACAGUAACUAAAGUGCGCAACAAAGAGUGAUAAUUGAGAAGGCAAGUAUUCUGUUCGUAGGGUGUAUAAAGACCUGCAUAUCCGAAGUCCACAAGGUGAGGUUGUCGCGAAGAAGCUGCAUUAUUAGGGUGCUAUCCUUGUAUGACUCCUCUCCAAGAGAAUCUAGCUCGGCAAUCGCUUCGUCGAAAGCCUACCAACAACUAGUGGUGAGUGCACUGAAUAAUUAUAGCGCCGACACUAUAUCUUAAAACAGAAGUAUCGAGUGACACGAGAAAAAGGUUAUACUAAGAAUGAUCUGUGCAAUCACGGGAUAUAAACCCACUGUGGAUUGUAGAUUCAUACAAAUGUACCCAAAAACAAGGAAUUGAAAUGACCAGUAAACGAACAGCAUAAUAAGGUGCAACGAAACUGUGAAGUACGAACUUACAUAGCAACAAAUUUUGUAACUUAAGGAACUCACACUGGUCGACAAUGUGCUUCGCCAAUAGAAAAUUUACAUCUCUUUACGAAUCUCUGAUUAAUCGAGAACAGCCUAAGCAUAAAGUACAGAUUUUAAAGCCAGCAGGUGGGGAAAAAGAUAAGUGUAGGAACAAGAAGGUGGAUAGCUCAGCAUGGUAGCAUUAUAUACAAAGUGAUAAACAAGAUUAACAGUAAAACUCUUCUAGCUUGUCUCUUGAAUUAAAAUCCCAUGCAUAAUAACCCCUCAAUUAGUAAUCUAAUAUCUCUAUGAAGUGAAAACUACAAGAUGUCAAGAUAGAGAUUCCUAGUACUUCAGAAAGAGAUGGACCGAAACAAAUGAAAUUACAUCCCUCAAUCCUCUCAUUUGCUUAGAGACAUUCAUAAAUUAGAGUUGAUUUUUCAUUUGCCCCCGAAAAAAAAUCAUUGAUCAAACUCUAUGAAUUUUUGUCAUCAUCAGAUAAUGCUCUACUUCUAGCAGAUGAACAACAAUCACAAAACCCUAGAAUCCAUUUCUUAGCGACAUAAAUAUACAAUCAGAGAAACUCAGAACUCUCGAUCUGCUCACCUGCUUUGCGAGAGAGCAAGCUUUGUCCGGCGAAUUGAGGAUCUCGUAGUAAAACACCGAGAAAUUAAGCGCCAGCCCCAGCCGGAUCGGGUGCGUCGGCGCCAACUCCGCCGACGCUAUGUCCUGUCACAAAUCAAUCAAAACUUGUUGAAUCAAACUCGGAAACCCUAACCGUAACCCUAAGAUCGGAAGGGAUGGGGAGAGAUGGGGGACCUGCGCGGCCUUGUACGCGGCGAGGGUGUUCUCGGCGGCGUCCUUGCGCUCGGGGCCGGUCUUGAACUCGGCGAGGUAGCGGUGGUAGUCGCCCUUCAUCUUGAGGUAGAAGACCUUGGAGUCGGCGGAGGCGGCGGAGGGGACGAGGCGGGAGUCGAGGAGGGCGAGGAUGCCGCCGCAGAUGGAGGCGAGCUCGGCCUCGACGCGGCAGCGGUAGGCGCGGAUCGCGGCGGCGUGGUCGGGGUUGCCGCGCCCCUCCUCCUUGGCCUCGAUGGAGGAGACGAUGCGCCACGAGGCCCGCCGCGCGCCGAUGACGUUCUUGUAGGCCACGGAGAGGAGGUUGCGCUCCUCCGCCGUGAGCUCCUCCGCGUCGCCCUUCGCCGCCGCCACCUUCUCCAUGAACUCCACCAUCUCCUCGUACCGCUCCGCUUGCUCCGCCAGCUUCGCCAGGUACACGUUCUCCUCCCUGCUCGCCGCCGCCGCCGCCGCCGCCGCCAUGGACGCCGCCGUGGAUGGUGCUCGCGAACGCCGCGAAAGGGAAAGGCAAAGGGAAAGGGAAAGGGAAAAAAGGUUAAUUUGGUGGGAGCGUAUUGAGAAAAGGUGAAGGCGAGAAAAGGAACCGAGAAUAUUAUACAGGAGUAAAAAGCGAACGAAAACGAGGAAGUGGGUGUAAAAUAAGCACGAGUAUUUAUCCUUCAAAAAUAUCCAUCCUCAAAUAAAUUCAUCUAAAAAUUUAAAAUUUUUCCAAUAAAUUCUCAAAAUAGAGAAAUAUAUAUAUAAGAAAAACUUUUUAAGGGACAAUUUUCUCUUUUAUUCAAUAGUUUCUCAAAUUAAUUUAAUUGCUAUCUCCAGCGGGAUGUGGUUGGAGUCCUCUUCUUAUUUCCCAUUCAGUUUUGUAGGAAACUUGGUUAAAUUGUUUGUGAGAAAAUCCUCCCCGUAAUGAUUGCCAAUCAACAAGCCCAUAUCUAUAACUAUUAUUAUAUAAUCAAAUUUCAGCGACAAAAAUCAUAAACGAGUAUUUGGGAACGAAAAUAAUGUACUCUAAUUUUAGAUUUUUUUAAUUUUUUUCUCCUUUUGUACUUUUGUUGAAGUGCAAGUUGUUUAGAUAGUUAUGUUCUUCUUCAAACAGUAAGACCUAAACUGGGCUAUAGAGAGCUCCAACACUGGGCCAUUUACAGAUUUACUUGUAAUACGAAAAAUUGGUACGUAGGCUACAGUGGAUGAAAGGGCCACAUUUUGCUUUAACUGCGUUGGAUGUUUAAAAGUUGAGGCGCCUUUUAGAAACGUCUUUGUUCUAAAGCCCAUAGAAUGUGCUUCGCUAACUCGUGUUGGUUACCUAUGACUCCACUUAAGAUCGAAACCCAAACUUCUCAAAACAGCGCAAGUGACUUUAAUUUAUCCUAGACCAAAAUUAAUUAUAAAAAAAAAGUAAAACAAAGAAAUAACUAAUCUUUCACACUUCUAUCCUGCACCUCCUUCACUUCCAAUCAAACAAGUAUGAGAACUGAAAAAAUUUUAGUUUCACAAGCUAUAAAACACACAACAAAAAAAAAAAACCUUUAUCUAAAUCCUAAUUCAUCCGAACUUUGAUCAAGUCAGUUAAGGAAGCUUUUAAUCUAAUCGGGCACAUUAGAGCCGACUAAUUUAUGCUACAUAUUACUCAUAGCGAUCAUGAUCACUUGUUCCGUCCAAUUGACAAAGCGUGCAACUUUUUUUUUUUUCCCUAUGUUUCAAUGUAUUCUAAUUCGAAUGUAUUUGACCUGACCUACAAUAUCAUCAUCUUCAAUGUCAAAAGCAGGUUUAUUUUUUAUGAUGUGUUAGUAACAACAAUGGUGCACUUUUUUAAUUAUCAUUUCGAAGGGCCUGCAUAUUAUUGUCAGCAAAGUGCAUUUUCGAAUAUAAAGAGAAAAAAUAGAACCAAAUCCAUAGAAAACAAAACAAAACAAAAAAUUCAAAUUCAAACAUUUCAAUAUGGAGAAGAAACCGUCAAUUAUAUUAUUAUUAUUAUUAUUAUUAUAUAUUGUUUUUCUAGAAUUUUAAAGUAACUUUGCAAGUACUGUACCUGGUCGACGCCUUGGUUGACCAAUCGCCGAGUAAUUUUUUUCGCACCACAAAUCCAGCUUCUGAAAAGUCAACGCCCGCAUUAUCCACGUUUCGUUGUGAUAAAGUUGAUUCGGCGUGUAAAUUUCUCCCCCGCCACGUCACCAAUUCGACCCGGUCUAGUGUGUACAUGCACAAUAGACCCAGGCACGCCUUACGGCGGUUCAGCGCCAAAUCAAGGGGCGCAGAACAAAUCACAGCCGUUCGAUCAGCGUGAUCGUUACGAUAUCAUACGGGCCCACCUUAUUGGCCCGUAUUUUGACAUAGGCGGUGCCCCAAAUCGUAGGAGACAAGUGGGGGAGAGUGACAUGAUGCCAAUCCAGUGGGCCCACAAUCCGAGAUGGGUGGGCCCACAGUGGGUCUGUUUCACUCAAAUUACGUAAAGAGGUGCAGAAAUAUUUUCAGCCGUAAAUACUUACUUUUUGUUGUUUAAUUCUUCAUAAAUUAAAUUAGAUCGUAACACUACUUUUCUUCGCUUUUGGAAAUAGAAUGAGAUAGAAAAAAUUAUAAUAAAUUAAUUGCUAUAGCAAUUUUUUCCUCCAUUUUUUUAUGUGUUUGUAAAAGUUUUUGAUAAAAUAAAUCAAAGAAAUAGAAUAAUUAUAUUUCAAGUCAUAUACUUCCUAUUAAAGAUUAGAAAAUAAUUUUUAUCUGAAUUUGAAUUCAACUAAAAGCCUUUUUCAACUUGAAAAUCAGCUAUGGGCAAACAAUCAGGCCCUUAGCUCUUAUUCUUGAACUGUGUUACUAAGCAAGUAAUAUAUAUAUUUUUUUUUCUAUCACGAAAUUAUUCUAUUGUUCUAAAUUAGUCCCCUAAAACUAGAGAUGGUUUAUCUUGUCCGUAUGUGCCUAGACCUCAAGACUCACUAAAUUUCUACUAUUUAAUCUAUGAAGUUGGAAGUUAUGGGUCCAAAUUUAAUCUCCACUCGAGAAAUCAAAUCCCGACCUUAAAAAGACCAGUUAUCUGAAUAAUAACCACUAGACCAUUGGAGUGAUUGUAUUGAUUUUACCGGUCGAUGAUAGGCUCACGAUAGCAUAUUGGCAGAGAGAAUGAGAGAGGAGGAAGCCUACCAACAGCUACACUGCAUUAUUUAUGUCCAAACAAUCACACUUUUUUUUUAAAAAAAAAUACAAUAAAAAUAUCUUUCUAAAAAUUAUAAUACAAUAAAUGAAUUUCAGAAAAGAAAAUUACAUAAAUAAAAAUACCACAUUAAUUUUAGACUUUUUCAGAAAGAGAGGGCGCCGAUUUCAACUCCUCAGCUGGGACGCUUUUGGAAUUGGACCCAACAACGGUUUCUCUUCACACCAGGUUUGCUUUUCUCUUAAAUAGAGGUCAAGUAAUGUUGUUCGAAUGCGUCCAACCUACGUGUAUUUGGCUCUAGAGCAAGGAAACAAGAAAAUUUGAAUGAGAAGCGCCUCACUUUUUAUCACUGAACCUCUUCUAAAUUUACUGUCUAAUAUAGUAUUGAUAUUGUACGGUCAUUGAACCAUCUUAACAAGAUCUUAUUGAGAAGCUAGCUCUUCAAUAAGGUCGCGCUGCAUAGUAAUAAACUUUUAAUCUGAAUUGGUAUUCGAAACUUGGUGCUGAUGCUUUCGUAUAAUUCGAAUAUUAGAAGUAUAUGACUAGAAACUUCACCGUGUUUAUAAAAUUGCGAUCACUCGAAGUAUCUCUAUUAAUAGAUUUUAACUCUUAUUCACCACUUCAGCCGGUGGGUUUGUUGUUUUGUUUCAAUCAAUCGAGAAGCUCGCUUCGAAUGCUUCAGUAGACCUGACAAAUUCAAUUUGUACUUGUAGAUACUUAUGGAUUACAUGCAAAAUUUGCGCGUAUAGAUACUAUUUUUUUAUACAAAAAGAAAUUGCUAGUAAAAUAGUCAAAUACCCGUUAAAUUAUGGAUAACUUGCGGAUACCAAUGAAUAGCGCAUAUUUAAUUUUUUUAAAAAAAUAAAAAAUGAAAAAAGUAAAUGCUCAAGUUGUUUUACCCGUCCCUACAAUCCUAACACUAAUUUUUUCUAGUGUCAUUUUUUUAUUAUCUAUUGUACGCUGCGAUGUUUUAAACAAUAAAUUAGUUUUUGUUUUUUUAAUAAUAAAUAAUAAUAUAUAUGUCAAUGUCCGAAAAGUAUAAAAAUAGAAAGAAAAAAAAAAAAAAAAAACUUUGUGAGAAACUCGUAUUCCUGACCGCUUAUCCACGGACUGGUAUGGAUAAAAAUCAUGAAUAAUCAAAAAUUACGGAUAAAUUUUAUCUGUAUUUGUAUAAUCUAUAAAUGUAAUGAUCCGCCCACAAAUUGUCCAAUCUUUCGAAUUUUCAGCCAUAUGCUUGAGCCUUAAAAAGAAAAAAAAGGAAAAAAAGAAAAAGAAAAAGUUAGUUUGAGCUUACCAUCUUUCCUGAAUGGUCAUAAAUAAGGUUAAAGCACAGCGAGAGAUAAAAGACAAAACACACGGGUGAAACCCUGCGCGCGCGGAUGCCCUGAUCCCCGUACAUAAAUUUAACAUUUGGUCACGAACAGUGUUUACGUGACCAUGUCCAUAUAUCAACCCAGUAUGAAUGGAACAGGGGGUUUGAGGAAUAUAAGCCCCUGGUAACUAAAGCUGGUACGUGCGAGCCCAUGGUUUCCCUACACUGGUAACUGGUAAACCCUCUCUUAUUUGGAGUACUACGUACAACUUCGAAAAACAUAUCACAUAUACCUAAUUAUAUAUACAAACAUGCACAAAAACAAACUUAUUUUAGGUUACUCGAGAUUGCAUAUUAUUUAUGCUAAACAAACGCCUAACCACGCCUUUUCGCUCCUCAACGGAGAUGAGCAAAAUACAGAGACUGUACAACGCAUCCAGUAGCAUCUUCUCCGCGGAAAGAGGGGGUCUGAACCCUACCUUCAAUCAAAUUAGAUGGCUACAAGAUCUACUUGGUAUAUAUAUAUAUAUAUUUCUCUCUCUAUCAUGGAUCUUUAUCUAUUUGAUUUGAAGAGCUUAAUUACAUAUUAUUGUAGUGUUCGUAAACUGUCCUUUUUUAUGUUUUUUCUUUUUCAAUUUUAGAUGCAAUGGAACCUGCGGACGUAGGAAUUGAUGGAUCUAGUGAUUACGAAAACAAGUCUCAGGAUGGGCUCAUCUUUGGACAAGCUAUAGCCCAAAUCACGUACAUACAUAUUCACGAGUCUGAUCAUUUCUCCGUACGUUUCAACGUAUCUUAGCUUGUAUAAUGUCGUUCUCUAAAACGUUCAUCGUUUUUUCAAAGCUAAGUUUGUGGUAUAAAAGUAUGUUAUCUCUUAAUAAAUAUUCUCUAUAUAUCUAUCUUAUUAAGAUUAAUCAUGCUUACAUGUAUAUAUAUACAUGCUUGUUAAGUUUAAUUUGAUUAGAUUGAAAUUAAUGCUAGUUUCGGGUUUGGCAGAUCGGGGUUUUCUGCUUCCCGGCCGGAGCGAAAAUUCCUUUACAUGAUCAUCCACGAAUGGUGGUCCUUAGCAAAGUGUUAUACGGUUCUGCAAGGGUGAAGUCCUAUGACUGGGUCACCACUCCAAAAUCCAAACCAAAUAUGAGUAAGCAAGUUUCUUUCAUUAUUCUUCUUCUUCUUCUUCUUCUUCUUCUUUUUCUCAAAGGUUUUAGGAACCCAUAAAACAAUUUCAUUAAAAAAGAGAGAAGAGUACGGAGCAUAAAAUUAUGGGAUAUUACGGACAAUGGAUUCGGUUCUUCAGAAAAAAGGGAUCAAUAAAACCAUUAAUUAGAUAGAAAGAUUGACUUCCAGUUUAACAAUGGGCAGAGGUCUACUCGCAGAAGAUUCUAAGAAAGGUGGUGUAUUUAUGACUAACAAUGCUCAAGCACAUGCAACUAAAUAUGUCCUCGUAUAUGCCUUUUAUUAAUUUAAGACUUAAUAUCAAGUACUAUAGAUAUUAAAAACUGUGGACUUAUACCAACCACACUCAGCGUAGUUGAAUAAGAGUUUGAUAAUUGGUAUGUAAGGUCUCAGGUUUAAAGUGUAGUUACUUUAAAUUUUUGGUUAAGUUCAUUUUUAAAAGAAAUCAUGAACAACACGGAUAUUUUGCUACCUUUCUCUCUCUAGAUCUCUCUCUCAAAAAAAAAGGUAGGCUUAUAUAAAGACUUUUUACCAAGUAAAAAACGCUAGAAAUUUUAAUGGAAGUGUCUUUUACUGAAUAUAAGUGGUUUGAUUCAAGUUUAUGGACUAAUUAAGGGUCAGCUUAAUAAGUUGGUCUUAGGGUGGCUUAAAUGGUUGGUUUGCUCAUUUGUUUGUCAAAGUCAACGUGAUGCCAAGAUUAAUGAAGUUUUAGCUAUUUUUCCAGAGACAAUGUGGAAAUAAGUGUUUGCAUAUUAAUUGAGACAAAGUAAAAUCUUUUUAUUUAUUAAUAAAACAAUGGAGGAAAUUAGCAAAUAACAAUCAAUCUGAUGUAAUCUAAUUGAUGCGGAGUCGCGCUCUUUAGCUGAAACGACCAGGUAUUAAGCUUCAAAUUAAUAAAGUUCCUACAAACUUUAGAAAAGUCUUUGUUUCCUCUAUAUUUAGGGAUAUAUGCAUAAAAAGCACAAUGCUUUACAAAAUUUUAUAAUGGUCAAAGAGAUAGAUCUAACAGUAAGAAGCUUACAAAACACCAAAUGUUUAGUGCUAUAUAUAUAUUGAUAAUAUUGUUGUCGGAUUCUAUAUAUAAAACUAAGCUAGAAUACUAUUAAUAGCACCAAGUCAUUAGUACUAUUAAAUUUUCGGUUCUUGGAUGAAGGGAUGUCCGGUUAGGAUGAUUGGCUGAAUAAUAUGAUCUAAUAUGUGGAAAUAAUCCAAGGGGUAGAUCUAACGGUGAGAAACUAAUUAACAAGCACCAAAUGCUUGGUGCUAUUGAUAGUAUUAUAGAUGGUCUCUCUCUCUCUAUAUAUAGAGAGAUCUCUCUUUAUAUAUAUAGAGAGAAGGGCUGCUGUGCUCAUUCGUGCUCCUAAGCCAUUUUGGAUGAUUAAGCUUUCGAAUCGAUCGAUGAUCGGCUCCGUUAGACUUGAUCUAGCAUAUUUGAAGUAUUUAGAAAAUAAAUUUUACUGUUUUUUUUAUAUUAUUUACCUAACGAUCGAAAGGGUUCAAAAUCAAUGGCCGAAAAAAAAAUCUUACAAAAAGUGGUGAUAUAAUACUAAAAUUUUGAUCAGAGAUAUUGAUUUUGCUGUAAAUAACAUAAAAAUUUUUUUAUCAAAAUUUUAUAUGAUUUGAAUACUUAUAUGUCGUUAAACUUUAAAACGGCAAGUAUUAACUAUUAAAAAUUAUUAAUUUUGAAUCUUUUCAAUCAUUAGGUAAAUAAUAUCGCAAAAUCGUAAAAUUUAUUUUUUAGAUACUUAAAAUACGUUAAAUCAAGUCUAACAGAGCUGAUCGUCGGUUCGAAAGUUUAAUCAUCGAAAAAUGACUUAGAAGCACGGAGGCCUCCGCAUUCCUAAGAGCACAGAGACCUCUGCGUUCCUAAGAGCACAACAGCUCUACUCUCUCUCUCUCUUUAUAUAUAUAUAUAUAUAUAGUUAACUGCCAACUGAAUUUGAAUCUGUAUGUAGUAAACAAAUAAUAUUGCUGUCAGUAACAUCAGCGGUUAUAUUUCUGUGACGAGCUUUACCAAUUUGAUCACUCUUGAAAGGUGGGCUUGCGAAAGUAGUGGCGGAGAACCAGCUCCUACAAGCCCCAUGCAAGGCUUCAGUAUUAUUCCCGAGGAGUGGCGGAAACAUCCACUCCUUCACCGCCGUAACUCCCUGCGCCAUUUUGGACGUGCUGGCUCCGCCGUACUCAGAAGAGCUAGGAAGACCGUCGACCUACUUCUCCGACAUUCCCAUCGCUUCUGUCCCAGGUGAUCAUUGGAUUUUUUACAUACAUACUAGUAGGAAGCUAAAAGAUUAAUCGGGUACCGAAAAUUGUUAUAUAUGCUCAUGACAUUGUAAUGCAAUUUGCGAAUAGAAUGAGUUUUGAUCAUAAUUAAGUGGCAAUGGAGGUUUAAGACCACCUUUGGGUCUCAAACUUGUGAACAUGCAAGUAAAAUGCUGCAACCAUGCAUCUUGUCAUUUCCUUUCCUUUUCUUUUCUUUUCUUUUAAUUUCGAAGAUUAACUAAUUACACGCUUGUAAUAUUAUCGUUUAGGGUUUGCAAUACUCGAGAAGAUAGAGAUGCCGGAUGAUUUAAAUGUGGCUGGAGCACCAUACGUCGGACCUGAGCUCAGCGUGGACAUCGACUUUUGUUGAUCUUUUUUUUCUUUUGUGUGAUCUUGUUGUGACGACUAUAUAUAUAUAUCUAUCAUGAUCGUUGAUCUUCUUUGUACAUUUUUGUAUAUGUAAUCUACUAUACGUGAGGGGAUGGUUUUGUAUUCAAUCCAAUCGUGCAUGUGAAAAACUAGCUAAUAUAUUAAGCUAAUUCACGAAGCUAUGUAGUGUAGGUGGGCGAGGAAUUCAAUAUGAACUAAUUUAACACUUGACAGGAAAAAAAAAAAAAACCUAAUUUAACCAGAUCUGACAAAGAAAACGGACAAGACAGCCUAUGUAUGCACCAUUCACGUGACAAGGCAGGAUGAAUUAAUGUGAGCAGGUGAUGUAACAUGCAUGUGAUUUGAUGGGUAUGGUGAGAUGACACCAACUCUGUUCUCAUCUAAAUUGUUUUUUGCUUUAUAAUAUGUCCAAACUUUCGAGGGACUAAUUUGAGAAAAAAAAAGAAAGAAAAAUCCCACUAGCAACGGCAUUCUAAACACGGUUAAUUAACGCACGAAUGUAGCCCGGCCCACUAGGGUUUGUAUUAACAGGGCCCAAAUCGUGUCGCCCAUGCGAGGAGGAGAGGGCUCGACGGGGCGAAGCAAAACCCUCCGAUCGAAAACCCCCGCAGAAGCCGAAACGCAGUUACGCAGCCCUCUCCCCUGAGAUCUGCGGCGGCGCCACCGCCACCGCCACCGCGGUAGCGAUUUGCGGAGAAGCGGGCUUCGGGGAUGGGCGGUGGGCAGAAGCGCGGCCGCACGCAGCGGCGGCACUUCAAGCAGAGCCGCGAGAACGUGUGGAAGCUCAACCCCAAGAAGACCCGCCCCGACGCCGACGAACCCGACGCCGACGCCAAAGCCAACGCCAACCCCAAGUGGGAGCCCUUCGCCACCCAAAACCCCGGCUUCGACGAGUACUACAAGGUGCUUUUCCUCUCCACACUUCCACGAGAUCGAUUCUUGGUUUGGCGUGGAUUUGUUUUGAUGAUUGGGAUCUUAUACGCGGUGCGUAGUUUGUUUCGUUUUAAUUGCGAGUUCUUGGAGGAAAAGGUGAAUUUUUUGGAUCAUUAAUCUUUGGCGCCAUCGCUAUGGGGAAUCCCCUCCUCCCUUUUUUUGAUCUGUGAAUUCAUGUUUAUGCUUGCGCUCUAUGAUGUAUAACACAAAUAGGAUUUGCUUCACAUGUAUGGAUACACAAAAAAAAAAACGUACAUAUACAUGCUUGGUGUCAGCAGUAGUUGUAUGCACACAGGACAUGCCGUUAAUGAGCAAGAUCUCUUCUUGGCGAAUGUCUAAUGAGCAUGCUACAAUUACUUGAGCUGUAAGCGGAUUUUGAUCUGAUAUGAAGAAGUAUCUGACCUUUACAUAUGAGGUAACCGAUGUGCAUGAAGAUGUGGUAUCCGAUAAGAACAAGCCUGUGGUAUUAAACUAUCUGAGCAUCAUAGCUUGUGCAUGCCUAGUUCUUGAAGGAUUAGCUUUGUUUUUGGUUUUUUUUUUAAAUGAUUAAGCGAUGGCAAAGGGCUGAGGGUCAGUGUUGCAUGGUUGGAAUAGGGGAUUUUACAAGUUGUUUUGUGUGGAAGGUAUGGUUUUUGUACAACGUUUGUGUUGCUAGACCAUAUGGUGUAAGGUUAGAGACGGGAUCAUAUCUGGAGGGUUGAUCUGUUGAUAUUAAGAUUUCUCUCUACCUAACUUGCGCUUUGUAUUGUAUAGGUAAUGAUUUGGUAGAAUUGUUCUGUAAUUGCUGACGUUGCUAUCUCAAAAUAUAUCUCUAGGAGCAAGGCAUUGUUCCUGAAGAUGAAUGGGAUGAUUUCAUUUCUUUGCUCCGAAAGCCUCUGCCUGCAGCAUUUAGAAUCAAUGCAAGGUAAUUCUGGAUUGUACUCACAAAAGGGUUGCUGUCAUGCCAUAUAAAUUUGAUAUCAAAUGUACCAUAUAUGUAGCAGAUUUACAAUUCUCUAGAUUUGUUCAGAAUUAUGUCAUUUUCUGCUUGAAAUAUCUUGCAGUCGUUCAUAAUUUUUAUUUGACUAUUGUAAGACCAUAGUUAGUUGUUCAGUUAAAAAAAAAAACCUGAAUUCUGUUAAUUGAAGGAUGAUAAUACUUGCUGCUAGUAAGGGCUUGUAGAGUUGUUGAUUCUUCUAAAUUUAAUUAAUUCAAAAGAUAAGCAUCAUUGUCACACUAGCUGCAGUUUCUAGUUUUCUCAUAGUUUUGCCUCUGAGGGCUCUUUAUUCCUUGUAUGUUUAGUUUGUUUUAAUGACGACCUGUCAUGUAUCAAGUAAGAUUCCGUUUGGUGCAAUUGAUACCAUACUAGAAGUUGAAGAUCAAAGUGAAAUUUGCUAUGCUGCCGUAUCUGCAGAUUAGGUGAUAAAUUCAUCAGAUGAAAAUUAUGUGUAGCUUGCUGUCUUAUAACUCAAUCUGACAAGUUUUAUACAAUGUGUCUAUCAAUAGCUGCUUGUUUAGUUCCUUAGACCUUCGUGUUUGGUGCUACAUUUGCAAAAUAACUAAUAUCAACUCCUCAUUUUACAGUGGCCAAUUUUUUCAGGACAUUCGAUCACAGUUGGAAAAUGACUUCAUGAAAUCACUGCAGGCUGAGGUUCCAUUUAAAUAUUGCUUGAUAAAUUAUUAGUAUUUACGUGCUCUUUUCUAACUUUCAGCCAUUCUAAUUGUUUACAGGUAACAGAUGAUUAUGAAGCGGAAGCUAUUAGACCAUUGUCAUGGUAUCCAGGGAACAUUGCAUGGCAUUUGAACUUUUCUCGUAUGCAACUUAGGAAGAACCAGGCACUUGAGAGGUAGUUGUUAUUAAGUAGACUAUAUUUAUGCCAAUUGAAGUAUAGUACCAUGAAAGGAAUUUACAAGAUUUCUUUUAAUGCUUCAUUUGGACGAUAUCUUUUAGUUGUACUGGUCUCUAUUCAUUUGGACUAAGAUUUUCUUACAUUGUGCUGAUACUUUGUAAGCAUCAAUUUUGGGAUGAUUAUUUUUUGCAUCAUUCUUGUGAAUGUGAAAUUUUAUUGUAAAUUGGCUAUUGUCUAUUUCGUUAGUCCUGUUUAAUCAUGCUGCCUAAUGGCGAAUUCCAGGUUCCAUGAGUUUUUAAAGCAAGAGAAUGAGAUUGGGAACAUAACAAGGCAAGAGGCUGUCAGCAUGGUGGGCAUCUUCAAAUGGAUCUGUUCAAGAAGCUAUUAUAUUUUUAGUAUUCCGUAGUACUUUGUUGUAGAGCUUAUAGUCAUUUUAAAAUGUUUGCUACAGGUUCCUCCACUCUUCCUUGAUGUACUACCGGAUCACCACAUUCUUGACAGUAUGUUCUAUCUCUAUUCAUCAGAUAAUUGAUGUGCAUUAUUUGCUUUUUCAUCAUUUACUUGUUAUAGACCAUCAUCUUUUCUUUUUUUUUUUUGGAUGUCGUUAUAGUGUCACAUUACAUGCAUAUAUUGGGUUAGGACUUAGGAGUUCUAUGCCAUGCCCAAUGCUAGGAUUGUCAUCUAUGAGUAUAGGUCGUACUAUUAUUAUGAAUAAUUUAUAUUUAUUUUUCUCUGCAGUGUGUGCUGCUCCAGGAUCUAAAACUUUCCAGUUGCUUGAAAUUAUGCACCAAUCAAUAGGACCCGGAGUACUUCCCAAUGGGCUGGUACUUUCCUUUAAGCUUUGAAUUUCCAAGUCGUUUCUUUAUGGUUAAGUGCAUAUAAUUCCCGGGAUAUAUCAUAAUUUGUUUCUUAUUUUUCUCAUUAAUCAAAAUCUACUGAUGAAAAUUUGAUUGAUUUAUUAGUAUCUUACACCCUAGAGAAGGGAAUAAUAUAGUAAGUUUUAUAGAUCUAGGGGGUUGUCCAUUGGGGCUUGAUUGCUGAAUCUGUUGAAGUGAAAAUUGCCAUUUAUCCAAAGGGGUUAUUUGCAUUUUAACCUUUCUGUAUUGGAUGGUCUGAUCAAGUGAGAGUCUUAAGGAUUUUGAAUUACGUAUCCCUGUGGUGAUGUGUUUUGCUUGGUGAUAUGUUUUGCUUUGAAUGUUUCUUUAAUUGACAAUCAAGGUGAUAGCUAAUGACGUCGAUGUUCAAAGAUGUAAUCUCCUCAUCCAUCAAACAAAGAGGAUGUCCACUGCCAACUUGAUAGUAACAAAUCAUGAAGCCCAACAUUUUCCCAGUUGUUCUUUGAAAAAGGGUCAAGGAGUUGCUUCUGAAGGGCAGGAGGAGCAUGGAAUACAUACAUUAGAGUUUGACCGUGUUUUAUGUGAUGUUCCUUGUAGUGGUGAUGGCACCCUGCGCAAGGCUCCUGAUAUCUGGAGAAAAUGGUAAUACAUAUUAGUACUCAACUUCCCUUUGCAUUUGAUUUCAUUGGUGCUCCUUGCAGUUUUCUUGAUAAAUGAAAGUUAUUUUCAGGAAUGCAGGCAUGGGAAAUGGUCUUCAUCGUCUCCAAGUGGAGAUUGCUAUGCGUGGUAACUAUAGAACCUCGAGCAGUUUAUAUGAGAUCUAUUUGCAUAUGUACUUCUGCAGGGUUAUCCACUUACAUAUAUUUUCAAAAUCAUGUAUUUUCAUGUCUUAACUUGAAACUUCUGAAAUUGUUGAUACACAUGUAAAAAUCAAGAGAAGCAGAGUUGUUCUAUGUUGAAGAAGACACUCCAUCUUUAUUAAAAUCUAUGACGUAAAUCAUAUUGUUUUCUACUGGGAAACUUUUGUGAAGCAGCUAGCCAUAGUUACAUUGUAGGCUCAUGCCACUACAAGUGUUUCCAUUGCAGGUUUAGCUUUGCUUAAAGUGGGUGGAAGGAUGGUCUACUCUACCUGUUCACUGAACCCAGUUGAAAAUGAAGCUGUUGUUGCUGAGGUUAAUUUGAAAUCUGCUUGAAAUAUUAUACUAUAGGAACAUUUCUCAUUACAUGUUUUACUUGUACUUUCAAAUCACUUGCUCUGUAUCAUGUUUGAAAUUCAGUAAAUUAAAUAUUUGAUAGUCUACUUCUAUGUUGUCCGAAAAGCUUAAAUAUAUAAUACCUAGGAUUUGCUUGCAUGAUUCUUGCACUGUGUGCUUAGAUCUAGCUUUUCACUCUAUAUGAACUAUGAUACUUAGGAUUUAUGUUUACCCUCACUUUUGAUUCUUCAGAACAUGGAGUUGUGCAUUUGUUAUUUAUGGCUUAUAUACAUAUUUUGAUAUUUACUUCUUGAAGAUUGACCCCCAUUUCUAUAUCAUUCUUAUAGUUGAAUAUAACAAUUUAGUCCGGAAUUUCCUUUUUAGAUAACAAUUUGGCCCUUCUAUUAGGACACUGUCUGAAAAAUGCAUCAUGGAAGUGCCACCAACAGACUUUGUUUGGUUAAGUAUAAAAUUCGAGGAUAAAAUUGAUAUUGGGGUGAAAUUUCAGGGACUAAAUGUUAAAGUUAAAACUUUGAGGAUGAAAUUGAAAUGGGGUGUCAAACUAAAUUGAAACUCUAAGGACAAUGUUAAUGUUCAGCUCAAACUUCAGGUACUAAAUUUGUAAAUUCUCCAUUGUUAUUCAGUGAUAUUGAUGUGCUUAUUUGGCAUCUUGUUUUCUUUCCCCACAAUUCUACCGUCCUAGUAUCCUCAAACUAUCGAUGUUAUUCGAGUUGCCUCAUUAUAAUAAUAAAAUUUUUUAAAAGCUGUUGGGUUUGAAACGUCACGUUGUGAUUCCUUCUUACUGUGACUGCUUGAUUGGAAAAGAGUUCAAAAUGUGAUAUUACUGUUGCACUUCAUACAGUUUUCAUGUUUUCUGUUAUCAUUCAUGUUGUUGCUUAGUUUGCUGGUUUCAGUAUUCUUGAUUAAGUUUGAGUUACCUCUGUUUAAAUUAAUUCCUGUGCUUUUUUCAUGUUGCCUAUAUGAUUAAAUUCAAUUGAAGCAAGUUUAUCUCUUUCAAUCCUUGUUGUUGAUUCAUUUUUAUCGACCCAUCUAGGUUCUUCGAAGAAGUAGGGGAUCAGUUGAGCUUCUUGAUGUCUCCAAUGAGCUACCUGAAUUGGUGCGCAGGCCCGGUCUUAAUACAUGGAAGGUCAGUUUCAACAUGAACAAAUUCUUUGGUGCCCACUGCCCGAGUUUUGAGUUAUACUUUAUUGAAUUACUUUUUUGUGCUGCUUUAUGCUUAUGUCUUAAUAUUCACCAAGAGAACAUCUUCAAUAAUCUCUAGGCACUUCUGGUUGGCUCAUUUGAAGAAGUGCAAAUUCUGCCUUUUUUUACAUCUUUUUCUUUUGUAACUCAACUUUUAGUUUAGAGCCCUUGAUGAUAUUCUAUUAUUUUUACCUGUUGCUGUAAUAUUGUACUGCAAUUUGUUUUUCUUAUUCAAUAUUUUGUCUUCACAAAUGUUUGAUUUUGUUUUUUUUUUUUUUUUUGACCCAACACUAAUAGGUACGUGAUAGAGGAGUUUGGCUAACCUCUUAUAAGGAUGUUCCCCUCUAUAGGCGAAGUGUAAUAUUACCAAGCAUGUUUCCUUCUGGUCAAAGCUGCAAAGAAAACCAUACACUAUGCAAUGAUGUCCAAAAGGAUGUAAAAAUAGUUGGUAAUAACUUAGGGGAGGAAACUGUAGGAGUAGUAGUUAUAGAACAGGAUCAGACAAAUACGGAGCAUCAAAAUUCUUCUGAUGAUUUAAGCAGCAAUACCAUUCCAUUGGACACUGUCAAAGCUGCAGCUAUGGCCAAUGAAGUCUCCAAAAAAAGUAUACCUCCUGAGGAAUUGGAUAAGAAUUCCAUUGCAAUGGAAGUUUCAGGUUUUCCACUCCAUUAUUGCAUGAGAAUAGUUCCUCAUGAUCAAAACAGCGGAGCAUUUUUUAUUGCUGUUCUUCAAAAGAUGGCCCCUUUGCAUGGUAAUUUGGGACCGAAUAACUUUUACCAUAUUGAGGUCUCGAUGUUAUUGUUGUACUCUCCUAUGUUGUGAUUUAUGUUGUAGGAAAAGACUAACGAGUUUUUCUUUUGCAGUAGUUCCGGAGAAUCAUGCAAGUGAGCCAGCUAAAUUUAGUCAGGUAUCAGAAAAUACCAGUGAGAACCCCGAGGAUGAAAAUGAAGCAGAAGAAAGGAUAUCUGGACAAGUCUCAAUUCAAGCAGAAGAAAAUACUGACACGAAUGUUCUAGAGGAGCAACUGAAAUCAAAUUUAAGUACUAAAAAUGCUUGCUCUACAGCUAAUAACAAAGAGGAAGUGGUUAAGUGUGACGGUGGGAAGAGUGGUCACAUGGGGAUUAAGGAUGUAGAGAGGAAAGGCAAGUGGCGAGGGGUUGAUCCUGUUGUUUUUUUCACAGAUGAAAAAACCAUUAACAGCAUACUUUCUUUCUAUGGUAUCAAUGAUGCAUUUCCACUCUAUGGUCACCUUGUGACUCGAAAUAGUGAUGCUAAUCAUGUGAAGAGAAUAUACUACAUAUCAAAUUCGGUUCAGGAAGUCCUACAGCUGAAUGAUCAAGUUGGUCAGCGGCUUAAGAUUACUUCCCUUGGUUUGAAGAUUUUUGUAAGUGUUCUUUCUUUCUCAACCGUGUCAAUGCUCUAAUUGCUUUGCAGCUGUACAUGAAAUCUUCUGUCACUUUAUUGAGCUAUCAAACAGAAUGUUGAAUGUAAUAUGGCCAUAUUCGCCAGCUUACAGAGCUUCAAACGGAAUGCUGAAUGUAAUAUGACCAUAUUAGCACAGCUUACAGAGCUUCCUAUUGCAUAUCUUAAGCUUCCUUUGUGAGUAUAUCCUUUAAAAUUGCCAGUUUAGCUCGCUCUCCUGUUUGCUUAGAUGCAUGAGUAAAAUUCACAAAUUAAAAAUUCCCUCUAUUCGCAUGCCUGAUAUUAUUUGCAUUUAAUGAUUAAGUAGUUUCUGUACUAUUAUUAUUUUUAGUUUCAUUUAUGGUGUCAUUUAACUGUCAUCAGAUACUUAAAUAGAUACAUCUAACGGAUCACAUGAUUACUCUAUAACUUACUGAUAUAUAAAGAAAAGGUUUAAACAAUCUAACUUGGCGGUAUUACGUCUUUUCUCAUAUUUUAACCUUUGCAGGAGAGACAAACAUCAAAGGAUGGAUCAACAUGUGCAUUCCGGUUAUCAUCAGAAGGAUUACCGUUGCUACUUCCAUAUAUCAGCAAGCAGAUUUUGUUUGCAUCUUUAGCGGACUUUCAGCACCUUUUACAGUACAGGACGAUCAAAUUUCCAGAUUUUGUUGAUUCUAAAUUUGGCGAAGAAGCGUCAGACUUAGUUCCUGGUUGCUGUGUUGUAGUGCUACGUGAAGGUAUCCCGUAUUAUGUCUUGUAGUCAUAUUGUAAGACAUUUCUUGAUAACUCGUAAUGGUAUCUUACUCUGUUCAUUUAACCUGAAGUAAUGCUUCUGUUGCAGGAAAUCGGAGUACAGAUUCUACUGCAGUGGAUGCCUCUACAGUCGCCAUUGUUUGCUGGAAAGGCAAGACAAAUAUUAGUAUCAUGGUUUCCCCCUUGGACGGGAAGGAACUUCUCGAAAGACUCGCGUUUCGGUUCGGAAUUAAGAGCAUCUCACUAGAAGAGAAUAAAAAAUCAAACAUGGAAAUUGAGGGGGUAAGCAACUUGGAGGAUGUUGAACCUAUUGCGACCAUCGAGACAGAUAACCAAGAAAUCGAGCAUUAAGACUGAAAAGUAAGUGGUCGAAUAUUGACCCCCUUGGUUGCUGCUAUUUUUGGACAAGCAGCAGCAAUUAAUGGUCGACAAAGUUAUAUCAUGUAAAACCUCAACUGAUAUAUUGAAUUCUGCAUUAUGUAUUGUGUUAUUUGAGGGAGAUGUUUUGUUGUUGAUUUGGAAAUCUUCGUAUUCAUGGGGGCGCUACUUGGUGAAUUUGAUAGACUCUUGGGCCUGCAUCUGCAUGUUGGGUGCUGGUCUUAAGAGAGUUGCCUCACAAGAAAGAAAACUAACAUGGAAAAAAUCAAGUCAUUUACAGGAAAGAACAUUCAAUGUAUGUCUCCAGCUCCCUGCUUGGCUCCUUUAUAGGUGGGCAAAAAUAGGUAUGUAGUUUUUUGUUGCCGCAAUUCCUAUUUAUGUAUUGAUUUCGCUUCCUGGGUGAGAUUGUGCGAAUUUUGAUUGUUACAUGUCAUUCUUUUUGCUUGCUCCCAAAAGUUUAGUUGUUAUUUUGCAUGAGAAUAUGUGCUCAGAACUGGCUAGGAAAUAUCGAUUUAAAUCCUUGUUUGGUAUCGUUGCUGUUCUGCUCUCUCAAAUAGAAUUUUGUAUAAGUGUAGAAAGGAAUGUUGGAUUGAUUGUUUGCAACCUUAUGACCAAGAUGCUUGUUUGACAAUAAAAAUUAAAACUUCCAAAGCAAUCCUUUUGCUUUCUAGAUUUUUCUUGAAUUGAACUUGUCAUCCUUCUUCCCGGAAAAGGUUGAGCGAGCAAAGCCUGUUGGACUGCUCCAGCCUUUACCAAUCUCAGGUAGGCCAAGGCUGGCAGCAGCAAACUUGACAUUUUUUUAUUUGGCUGGGGUGUAUUGUGAGCUAGCCAAUCACGACUAAGAGGUAAGUUUUUUCUUUGAUAUAUUAAAAUAUAAAAAAUCAGUAUCCAAAAAAUUAUUAAGAAAAGCACUAAUGUAAAACAAGGCAAAUUUUUUAUUUUGUUGGUGUCGGUUUAACUAUUUAUUUUUUAAAAAACUUCAAAUUUGAGUCUUUUCAUAAAUAAUAACAACCCAUCAUAAAUAACCCUUGUCAAGGUCCUUUUGUAUUAUUUUUGCAAUUAAAUGCUUCUUAUUUAUCUUCAAGGAGUCGUAGUCCAAUCAAUCAUUGUUAGAUAGGUGAAAUGUGUCAGAUAAGAUGUAUGUGGUUAUUGUUUAAUUACUUCUGCAUAAGUAAUUUUGUAUUUCUGUUCAAACAUUGCUUCACAACAAUUUGGAGAAAAUGGACCUAGUCCACGUUUUCUGUUUAUUUAUUUAUUGUUUAUUUUUUCAACUGUUGUUGGUGUUUGUACGACUUUGAAAAUCGAACCUAUUACUGUAAUUUCAUAUGCUUCAUAGAUUAUCCAAAUGCAGUGUAGAAUGUAUGAUUGUCAGGAGUUUGUCGUCAAAUUUUUUAUUUUCUAUAAUUAUUUUUUUUCAGAGAAAGGUAUCAGGCUAUUAUGGGCUUUGUUAUGUUUUUUUUUGAAUGAGCUCAGUUAGCUACGUAAAGCAAUUAGACUCUGAACUUAAAAUUUUAAAUAUCAACCAUCAAAUUUUUAACCAACUGUGUUACGGUCAGUCAGUUGUAUAUGGUCAAAUUAAUGCAAUAAUUUGACGUAUUUUGGGGGGUUCAACUACGUGCCCAAUAUUUUUAAAACUAAGGUCUAUUUAUCUACCUGCUCCAUUCUGAAUUUUAUUGUCUACUGCCUCAAAGUAAUACCUGGUUUGAAAUGGUCUUUUAACAACUUUGAAUGAGGGAGAAUAGAACAAUAAAUGAUGAGCCAUCUAAAAAUGUAUCAUAUUUCGGCGUGCUUUGACUAAAAAUAGUUGAACAUUCGCAUAAACGAACCGCAUGAUUGGAUUUUUUUUUUUUCCUUGUUUUAUCAACAAGUUAUUCGUAAGCAAUUUUUUUCUGUUUAUGUUUCCUAAGGUAUCCUCACAGUGUAUAUAUCAAGUCUUAUAAUUUUAAUUGCUUUCAUACGUUACAGCUAGAUGGAAAACACAAGAAUUGCUGAUAUUUUGCGAUGUAGCAGUUAUAACGCCAUACAUUUUUUUUUUGUUUUAAGCUAUGUUUUUUUUUUUCAUUUUUCCUUCUUUCUUUUAUUUUGUGUGAUCUCGUUAAUUUAACUUUGCACCUUGAAUUGUUUGGUCUACAGGUUUUUUACUUCUUAGCUCGCACAGGAUUUCGCUUCCCAUGCCAACCUAACACCCGUUGACAAAAGAGAUAAAAUCAAGCAAAAUUGUUAAUAGUGAUAAGAUCACUUAGGAGCUCGAGGGACGAUUUACCAGGUAAUAUAAAAAUAAAUAACACACGGUUCACAUCAACUCAUCGAACCAUAUAAUCCGUAAGAAAUUUAAAACAUCACGUGCGGAUGCGCAUGUUGUAGACCAUUAAAAGCUGCAGUUAGAAAUUGUAGUAACUGUGAAACUAUAACUCAUUUGUUCAAAGAAAUUGGCAUUAAUAUAAAGUCUACUUGGAGUAGUUUCUUCGUAUUAGGUUUUUCAAUUUGUAGUCAGAUAUUAUUAUUUAAGUUUCCUGUGCUAGCAAUUCAACCUGAUGCGGUGGAAGAUUUGGUAUGAUAAUAGAGAUUCCAACAACGACGUAUUUUAAGUAAGUUGCUUAAGAAGCCACAUUGCACAAGGAUCUUUCUUCUGAAGAUAAUGCUUGUUUCAGUGUGAAUGUCGCGCCGCAGUAGUGUGUUCUUUUGCAAUGUUGCAACACUCACAUGCUUCCUGAUUUGCACAGUGCAACAAUAAAUUUCUCACCAAUGUGUAUGGGAAAUGAGGUCGCUGAAACUAUAUACCUUCGUGAGUUUGAUUGAUCUGCUCAAACAUUAAUUUGUGCCCAGUAACGUUCGCUGAGCUGCAAAAAGGAGAAAAAGUAAUAUCAUUUUACAUGAAGUUAUUCUAGAAUAAUCUAUAAAGCAAAAGAAGUUAUUCCACAGUAAUCUAUGAUCUAAUUCUUUUAAUUAUUGGAAUUGUGUUAUUAUAAUCUCCCUUGCUUUAUAUUUAGUUAGCAUAGCUCAAGCACUGAUUGCAGUUACUCAUUUAUUAUUGUAGAAGUUAACGCUAACCUAGGUUUAACUUUGUUUUUAGUUAUUUAAGGAUAUUGUGCUAACUUUGAAAAAUUAUGUCCAUGGAAUCAAUUAAUCAAAUGCAUUCUAAAAAACACGGCAAUCUCACAUGAUUUAGGAGUGGAAAGUUUUAUUAUGACUAUUGUUGUUUAUUAAAAUAGACGGUGCUUAGUUUUAGAUGCUUUAAUAGUCAAAUCUAUUUCUUAAUACUGAAUCCUACGUGCAAACUGUUCCAAAUUCAUUGAUUCUUUUCAACUAAUACAUCAACCAUAGUAUGGAUUUAAUGGGUAUAAUCAAAUCUGGGCAUCAAUUAGGGAGGGUAAUAUCGAAAUUUUGGUAAUGCAACCUGUUGAAUUGGUACUAGCUUGAGUGAUCAAAAUGAUAAUUUGGAGACUGAUGAGAAAGCAACAAUUUAGAGAUAUCUAUCAGAAAAAAAAAAAAAAUAGUAUAAGCUAAAAAAAACAAAAAUAAAUUUAAAAUAUAGUGUAGAAAUUGCUAAAAUAUAAUAGUACAAGGAAAUCUUUUUUAAAAAAUAGCACAAUGUAGCAAAUUAAAAAAAAAACUAAAAUACAGUGCAGUGGAAUGCAUAUUUCAAUCCUAAGUUUUUAUUAAUUUUUUUCAAACUAUGUUUGAGUGUUUAGUAUGGAAGCGGAUAACGAAUUAAUAUCUUUAAAAACGAAGAACACCAUUCAAAUUGACGAGUCCUAAAUAAGUUAGAUCGUUAAAAUGUAAAUAUAAAAAAUAGAUAGAUCAAUACAAACACGACACGUUAAACACAUUUUAAUGAUUACUUCAAGAUCUGUGAAUCUGCUUACGUACGUUAUGUAUUAUUCAAUACAAUAUCCUCUAAUUUCGUAUAUCAGCUCGUACCGAAUUCAGCUGGUGGUGUCCAAAAUCUCCACCUGUAAUUUGUACGGUGCAAGGAUUGUGUGCCCGGAGUUCAGCGAACAAUUUCUCGGGCUACAAGGAGACCUAUGUUGAAAAAAUUUUCCAAUCUUUUAUUAUAAUAUUAUUUAAAAAUUAAUUUGAAAGUUUAAUUUUAGAUUUUAAAAAAUUUUGAAACAAAAUUAAAUAAUAAAUAUUGUAAAGAGAAGGUUUAGAUAAAACCUAUGGAUCGAAACGUGUAGAGUACUAUUUUAAAAACGAAAUUAUCCCUUCACGUGCGAAACUUUUCGGCAAUUACUUCUAGCAAUACUGUAAGGAAGUAAAUUCUCGAGACCCGAGAAUUAGACUUCGUUUAGAAUCGACUGAUUGUCGAGUGCAUAGGCUUCGGAAAGUCCGAAGAUGAUUAAAAUGCAUAAAGUGCAUUAAGGAAGAGUCCGCGAGAGCAGCAGUGCAAAAUUCUGCACUGGAGCAGAAUUGCUCUCCGGGACCGGUCCCUGGCAGGGAGGGACCGGUCCCAUCAACUGGGCUGGUGGGGACCCCGAUGCAACCGGUCUCUGACAGGGAGGGACUGGUCCCCGAACGUUAAUCCAGCGAGAAAAGCCGAAAUUUGGCUAAGUCCCGAAAAUCCAACUCUCUGGUAAGGGCCGCCGGUCUCCUGGGGACGAGUCUCUCAGGCAGGGACCGGUUUCCGAACGCGAAAUCCCCUCUGCCUGAAUGGGAGGCUCUUGGGGAUCGGUCUCCCUGACCAGGGACCGGUCCCUCACUGCGAAAAUGUCGAGUGAAGGUUGUUUCAGAGAAUAAAAAGUUGAGGGGCUUAUUUGCAAAAUGCCUUAUAUGAGAGGCUUGGGGACCACUCUUCUCUCCCAUCCCUCUCAUUUGCUCUCUCUCUCUCACACUUUUUUCCUCUCUCUCUCUCUAGAAAGAUAAGAAGGAGAGGAAGAAGAAGAAGGAAAAGAAGAGAAAGAGGAAGGAGAAGACUGAGAAGAAGAAGAAGGUUAUCUUCUUCUCUCCCUCUCUCAAGCUUGGAGCUUGGUAUUGAGGUAAGCCUCAACCCUACCAUGGUAGAUUUCUUGAGUUAGGAUUUUAUUGCUUAGAAAUGGAUCGAAUGGAACCUAUUGAGGUUAAGGAGAUGGUUCGAGCUCGAAUUUGAAGCUUGUACCACGGAUUCCUCCAUUGUUGCUAACCUAGGGUACGAAUUUGGAAUUUUUUAAAAAUGUAGGGUUUUGAUAUCGUUUAAUAGGUCGCAAACCUAAUUGCUAGCUCUCUGAACGCGUGGGUGAAGACGGUUCGUCGAUACCACGAGCGAGUGCGAAGAUAUCGCCGAAACAAGUGUUUGAGGGUUCGUUUUGCCCCGAGGAGUUGAAGCGACGUACGAGGAUCGUGACGUCGAGUUUACUAGCUACGCUGCAUUACUAAAAGGUGGGGGAAUGCCAUCCCGAAGCAGUCGAACUGCUCUCUAUGUCUAAGUUCUAUCGUCGAUCAAUUACAUAUUGUAAGAUAGCAUUAUAGGGUGUUAAAUGCAGUUAUUACACAUUAUUGCAUGCUAGUGUUAGUUUGGUUUCGCGGAUAUAGUGAAUGAGAACCUAGUAUGCAUGAGCUGAAUAUGAGAUGGUUAACCCUAUAUGUGAUGAACAUGUUUAGAUGAAUAAGAACCUAGUAUGUUGAGAACUUGUCAAGAAAACGAGUGGCAUCUAGUUAACAAUGAACACGAACGAGUGGCAUCUAGUUGACAUCGAACAUGGGAACCCUAGUGUAGUAAGAACACUAUGAGCUUGGAAAAUGCUUGAUUCUAUGAUGAGACCAACCUUAGUUGGUAGGACCAGUUCGUGAGUUCAGAUUAAGCUCACAUAGCCUGUCUGCGUUUGUAGGGGUCGCUCCCCACAAGCUGUGCACUCCGGAGUAUUUGUCACUUGAGGGGCAGUCGCCAUGCGCUGUCCGGAUAGUCUGCGAGCUGUCCGCAGGCGGUCUCGGGGAAUAGUUCAGCGAGGCUUUUCCCUAUGAGACUUAUAAACGUGAGAUCGAGUUGCCGGAUUGAUCGAAUGAUUGGGUAAAGUAAUGAAUAACCCUUAUUGUUGAGCAUAGUAAUAUGGUAGCUACGAAUUCCUUAUGAAUUACAUGCAUGCAUGAUAUCAGAUUGAGGCAUGGUAGAGUACUCACAUUUCUAUUUAAUGCUAGUUCGUAAUUGUUAUCGCUUUCAAGUUUAUAUACCUAUCUAUCUGCAUAUCUACCUAUGCCUGCUUAGACCUAGUGGGGAGAUGGGCGGAGUUGGCGGCCGAACCCACUGGGAAUUAUGGAAGAUAGUUCUCACCCCACUCUCUACAGGUACGAGUUCGAGUGUCCCUGGCGAGCGCGAGGAUCAUGGCAAGGGCAUAGCGCCCUAGUGGUAUAUGUACAUAGCUAGCUUUACUUCCUUUUAUAUUAGCUCUACUCUGUACUUAUAUUUGAGAGUAGAUGUUGUAUAGGGUGAGGUUUGAGAGUGAUUGUAUAUAUAUUCUGGAAGAAUGUAAAAGAUAAAAUAAGUGUAUAAAGUUGAAUGAGUUUAAUAGUUAAGUUCAUCUCUUUUUUAUCACUUGUAUGCUUUACUCGUGUUGCUUGCUCUUGGUUGGUAUGCACUGUUUAUGCUUCGUUAUCGUUAUUUGAUCAUGUAUGUAAUCAAGUGUAUUUCCUGAGAACUUGUGUGCAUGAUUUCGUCGUUUGAGCCUUGGGCAGACAGGGGAGUUGCUGUCCGUUCGGCUGUCCGUUCGCCGAGCCCGAACCGAACCAAUUUGGUAGCGGACUCGGGGCGGGGGCGUGACAAAUACAACGACCACAUUUCACACUUUGGCGAAAAUCGCAAAAGUGUGCCAAGACGAACCCAAUCGAGAAAGUAGGAAAAGACGAGAUGGGGUUUAGGUAUGCUCGGGUUUUUCAUCAACUCGUGCAACCUCGCCCACCGGGUGUGAGCAUAACUCUCAUUUUCUUCCAAACAAUUAGCUUAAGAAUAAAGGAAUAUAUAUAUACCAUCAAUAUCCUUUUGAUUUCUAAUAUGAGACUAAACCUCACACAUGAAAAUUUUAGUUGGACUCCCAUAUAAAACCCAUUAAUAAUUAUUUGGCUCCCCAAAGAUCCUUAAGAAAUUUUAAAUCACAAAAAUCUAAUAAAAUUCAUCAACCCAACUCAUUCACAAAGCGUACUUAUUAUUAUUAUUAUUAUUAUUAUUAUCAUCGUAUUACAAUUACUUCAACAGCUGUCCAUCACAUGUCGUGAAUUAAUCCUGCCUAUUAAAUUAGUGUAUGUAUUCAAAAAGUCUCAUUUGCUCUAUAAUCUAAAUCCACUUAUCCUUGUUUGCAAAUUGCAACUAGCUAGCUAUAUAUAUAUAUAUAUAUACUAAAAGAGUUCCCUCCUCCCCCCAGUUUACUUUCAUGGCUACCCCACAAAGCGUACCCAGAUGGACACCAAGACCGAGCCCAAGCCCGCCGCGCCGUCCGGCAUUGACCGAGAAAGCCGCUUUCCAGAUGCACGGCAUAAGCCCUGAAUCGGGCGACGACUCUCCGAAGAGCGACGAGGGGUCCUUCCCCUUCGGCAGCUCCUUCGGGCCGCUGCCGCCGCUGUUGCACCGCCGAACUCCGCAUCAGGAGACCGAAGUCCCCGCGGAGGUCGCAAUACCGAUGGCGGAGAAUGGGAGCAGGAUGGGCGGCACUGCAGGCCGCGGCAGCGGCGGGAGGGAGUGCGGCGGUGUUCGCUUGACGUGGGAGGAUCUGUGGGUGUCGGCGUCCGACGGCAAAGGCGACCGCACGGCGAUUCUUUGUGGACUCAGCGGGUACGCCCAGCCGGGGGAGGUUCUCGCUAUCAUGGGGCCUUCCGGGUGUGGCAAAUCUACACUUCUUGAUACUUUGGCAGGUAAAAUAGCGAAACUUAUUUGAAUUUUGUUGUGUUUGGAUUUAAUUAUGAACCACUUAGAUUUGACUAUUCAAUCUUUCAAAUUUUUAAUUUUAUCAUCUAAUUUUUCAACUUAAAAUUCAAAUUUUAAAAAAUUAGAUACUCAAAUCCAAAUGGCUCGUAGCUCGGAUAAGUUUCAUACAUUUUUGCUAAUAAUGUAACAACUACAUGCGUGGGUAGUAUUACUGCGCAUAUAUAGUUGACCAUGCUCUCUGGUUUUUGUUUUUUUUGUUUUUUUUCUAAGAAUGAAAUGCACAGUAAAAUUGAAAUUAUGAUUACACCCGCAGGAAGAUUAGGCGGGAACGUAAACCAAACAGGAGAGAUUCUGAUCAACGGUAGGCGACAGAAGUUGGCAUUUGGGACGUCGGUGCGUAUACAACACCCGCCGUUGGAUUAUUUUCCCUUUUUUUUUUUUUUUGGGUCUUUUUUCAUACGUAUCUCUGUAGUCUGUACUGGAAAUGGAAGUUACAAAUAUGCAUCAAAGCUUACACUCCUUUAGAACCAAAAGUCCAUUUUACGAAUCUUGAUAGAUUACAAUGCUCUUGCUUCAGGCUUAUGUGACUCAAGAUGAUGUGCUAAUGACCACUCUCACCGUCCGUGAAGUCGUGUACUACUCGGCGCAGCUGCAGCUGCCGGACUCCAUGUCGUGGUCGGAGAAAAAAGCGCGCGCGGAGGAAACUAUACAAGAGAUGGGCCUGGAAGGAGCAAUGGACACAAGGAUAGGAGGGUGGGCCGCGAAGGGCAUCAGCGGCGGACAAAAGAGAAGAGUAAGCAUUUGCGCGGAGAUCCUAACCCGGCCCCAGCUCCUCUUCCUGGACGAGCCCACCAGUGGGCUCGACAGCGCCGCCUCGUACCACGUCAUGAGCCGCAUCGCGAGGCUCGCAAAAACGGAGGGCAUGACGGUCGUCACGGCCAUUCAUCAGCCUAGCAGUGAAGUCUUCGAACUCUUCCACGGCCUCUGCCUGCUUGCCUACGGCAGAACAGUUUUCUUCGGCGCGGCUUCGGAGACUAGUGAGGUACGCAGAUAUCUUGAUUACCAAAAGACAAAGUGACACUUGAGAGAUUCUUGUUUUCUGUUAGAAUUAGAUUAGCAAUUAAUUGCGACAGUUCAGUGAAUUGUUCUAAGAUCAUGUCCUUCUAGCUAGUAAGUAUGUGUUACAGUUGAGACAGGCCUAGAUGAGAUGUGAUCAUAACAAUUAAUAACAGGGAAUAAAAACAUAUUAAGCUGUUGUAGUUUCUGAUUUGUUCAUUGAUGUUCUUCAACUUUUCUAUCGAUUAUUACAUUCUAGCUAGCUUGGUUAUUAAUGUUCAUCAUCUUUCCUUAAUUUGUCGCCAGUUUUUCGCUUCAAAUGGCUUCCCCUGUCCUCCGCUGAGAAAUCCUUCUGAUCACUUUCUAAGGACCAUCAACAAAGACUUCGAUAAGGUACGUGACAUCUUUAUAUUAGUCAUCUUUCUUAAUUCUAAACCGCAAGCAAGUUAUGGUCUCAACUACUUUCUCUAAAUCAGGACAUCGAAGACGGCCCUGAAGCUACGACAACGACCACAGCUGAAGCUAUCGAGAUUUUGGUUAAUUCUUAUAAAUCCUCCGUCAAUUCACAGAGAGUAGCACAGCGAAUAGCUGAGAUACGCGAAAUGGUGAUUCAUAUAUCUAACUUAAGAUACAAACUUUUGUUGUAACCUCGCACGUAAUCCAUGAACUUGUUUCCGACCUUUUUUUUUGUUUUGUUUUUUUAUAUGAAGGGAGGAUCAUCAGUAAAGAAGGGUAGUCAGGCCAGCUUUUUAACUCAGACGCUUGUUCUCACCAGAAGAUCCUUUGUGAACAUGUACAGAGACUUGGGCUACUAUUGGUUACGAUUUGCAAUUUAUAUCGCUCUCUGCCUCUGCGUUGGGACCAUCUUUUACAACGUAGGUUACUCGUACGGAUCGAUCCAAGUAAGUUUAAAGCUUAUGAAAUCCCUUCCGAGUUAAAGCUACGAAGCGAGAAUUAUUAUCUAUGUAUGAUCAUCAUUUGACAAUAGUUAUAAUCUUUUCAGGCUAGGGGAUCUAUGCUUAUGUUCAUCGCAGCAUUCCUGACUUUCAUGGCAAUUGGAGGAUUCCCCUCUUUUGUGGAGGAUAUGAAGGUAUAUGUCGACUUGAUUUUCGACAAAAUAGUAAUUGCUUCGCUGUUUAUUGUUCACAGCAAGAAUUAUAGCAUUAACUGAAUUAUCUAAGUACCAAUUUAACUUGUGGUUUUCUUUUGGCGUAGAUAUUCCAAAGAGAAAGAUUAAAUGGGCAUUACGGUGUCACCGCGUUCACAAUUGCAAACACACUCUCCGCCACUCCGUACUUGGCGCUUAUCUCCGUAGUACCAGGCGCCAUCGCCUACUAUCUCGUCCACCUGCAGAGAGGUGCGGAUCAUUUCGCCUACUUUGCUCUAGUGCUAUUCAUGUGCAUGAUGUUAGUCGAGGGUCUGAUGAUGAUCGUCGCAAGCAUUGUGCCGGAUUUCCUCAUGGGUAUCAUAACCGGGGCGGGGAUUCAAGGGGUAAUGAUGCUGAACGGCGGCUUCUUUCGCUUACCGGACGAUCUUCCCAAGCCUGUCUGGCGAUACCCGAUGUACUACAUUUCGUUCCAUAAAUAUGCUAACCAAGGCUUCUACAAGAACGAGUUCUUAGGAUUGAUCUUCCCCAAUGACCGAGCCGGAGCACCUCCCACGAUCACCGGUGACGAGAUUUUGCGGAGUAUUUGGGAAGUUGAGAUGAGCUACUCCAAGUGGAUUAAUCUGCUUAUUUUGUUUGGGAUGGUGAUACUCUAUAGGAUGCUGUUCUUGAUAAUUGUGAAAAUCACAGAGAAGGUUAAGCCUAUGAUGAAGGGUAUGCGGUUCAAGGCUCCGGAGAAAUCCGUGCAUACAAUGGAGCAACCAUCAACUGAACCUUAACCGUUAAGCAGUUUGAGAUUAAAAUGGAAUAAGUAUAAUUCUCUAUUCAUACUUCAUGAAAGAGAGUUUGUGUAUUUGAUAUUGAGUAGUGAUCCUUGUGUAUUACUUAUAUGACAUCGUAUGAAGGUUUAUGUUUAUACCUCUGUGUAUCCCUUUCGCGGCAUAGAGACUGGAAGGCUAAAAUAUUAGAUGAUGAGCUCGAAAAGCCAUACUGUUUUUUGAGGAACACUUUAUGCAGAAAAUAAAAAACAGUAUCUUAACACUUGAGAUAGGCAAAAGAACAACUGGCCUUGGCAUAAUUGACCUGCACAAACGAGUACGUAAUCAGCGUUGCCGAACUGAUGUGGAAACCCUUUCUUAAGUUUUCCUUUCCCGUUGUAAAAGACUAUUACAGUAAAGACAAUUACAAUAGGGAAAAGAAUGCUCUUGUAACGCGAUAAGAGCAUGUUUGUUUUACCAAAACUGUACGUUGAAUUGAAAUAGACUUUGUGUUGAUAAAGAGAGGCAUCUACAAGGCCCUACAGAACCUAGACAAAUAUGAUGAGAAAACGAAGAUACAUCGUACCAUCCUCGUACAGGAGAGCACAUUCAAUCUAGAAUUCAUGAAAAAUAAUGGCAAAAUCCAACAAAACGAAGAUUGCUUUCCAGGUUCCACGACCAAAUUAUCUUACAUUGGACUGUUCGGCGAUAACCUGAAAUUAGCAAAACUCGUACCAUCCUUCGUUCAUAGUUCACGAUAAGAAGCAAAAUUAUACUACAUUUCGAGAGACCAGAACAUACAGAAACAGAGCGAAAAAACAGAGUAAAAUCCGAAGAGACACUACAUCUCGAGAGACCAGAACAUACAGAAACAGAGCAAAAAAAAACCAGAAUAAGAUCCGAAGAGACGCGAAUUAAGAGGAUUGCGAAAUUCACUCAACGUUGACAUGGAACACGUCCUUGCGAUCCUCCUCCUUCGCCUUGGGCACGACGACCCUGAGCACGCCGUUCUUCAUCUCGGCCUUGAUCUGAUCCAUCUUGAAGCAGUCGGCGGGGAGGUCGAUCCGGCUGCUGAACCUGCGCGCGCCCCCCUCCCCGUCGUCCUCCGACUCCUUCUCCCCCUCGCCCCUGAUGACCAGCGUGUUCUGCUCCGCCCACACCUUCACGUGCUCCUUCCCCAGCCCCGGCAUGUCCACCCUCAAGUAGAGCGCCUCCUCGUCCUCCUUCGCGUCCCACCCGCGCCGCAGGCCCCCGAGCCCCCCGCGGCNCCGCCCACACCUUCACGUGCUCCUUCCCCAGCCCCGGCAUGUCCACCCUCAAGUAGAGCGCCUCCUCGUCCUCCUUCGCGUCCCACCCGCGCCGCAGUCGCCGCCGCCGCCCCCGGGUUCUCCAGCAUCUGGUCCAUCAGGUUCAGCACCUGGCUCAGGCUCCGCGUCGGAUUGAACGGAUCAAACACAUCUGCGAUCACACAAUCAGUAUUUAGAUUUACCAUCAAUUUUGUGAAGACGAAUCACAAGAUGAUGAUUGGAUUGGAUAGAAUAAGAUGACGACUACCUCCGAAGAUGGUGGGGAAGCGGCGGGAGACGGCGGAGCCGGCGCUGCGAGGGUCGACGUCGUCGGGGUGGUCGUCCUCGUACUUGCGGAGUUGGGCGUCGGUGUUGAAGAAGCGGGUGGAGGGAGCGGCGGCGGGGCGGAGAGGGGAGAAGGUGAGCUUCUCCAGAAGCUUCGAGAGAAGCACCCUCCGUGAAGCGAUCAUCGCGGCCAUUGAUCUCGAGGUGUUUGCUCGAUGCUAUAAGUGCAACUUCUUCUCGCCUGUAGCUAUGCAGGAGACGAGGGGGUUUAUAUAGAGUGACUGGGGGUGGGGUCCGUGGGGACGAAAGGUUCGUUGUUUCUUGGGAAAGAAGUCCAGAUUCGCGUAGAAGCUUCUAGAUAGAUUAUAGCAACGAGAACGUUCCGGAGGGCGAUUUUGGAAGGUUCCAGAAACGUGCGGCUUGUAUAUGAAGAUCUGAGUCAUCUGACGCUUUGUGAGGCUGACGUGUGGGCCCGCAUCUCUGUAAGAUUACGGAAUUAAUUAGUUGAUGCUGGGUGGUCCGUCCGAUCGAGAUCAGACGGCUCUUGAAUGCUUGCAUCCGACCGUGACUUCGUUAGAUCCACAAAGAUUAAAUGAUCAAUGGAUUGAAUUUAACGAUAUAUAUCUGUAAAUUAAACAACCAAAUUAAAAUAGAUCUAUUUAAAGUAUCAAAUUCCAAGUUACUUGUAGGUUCUUAUAUUUAUCAAAAUUAGGAAACAACUUUAAUAUAUUUUACCGACCGUCCCUAAAACAAGUGGCAAAGGGUUUGAUGGUUGAUAUUUGAGACCCAAGUUCGAAUCCUAGUUGAUUCACAUUUCUAGUUAAGUUUAUUUUUAAAUGAAAUAAACAAAGUUUCUAAAAAAAAAAAAAAACUUCGAUAUACUUUGACUAUCUAUAUUAUAUAUAUAUUUUAGUUAAAUCUAUCAAGAAGGUAAGGACUAAAUUUGGUUAUAGAAGUUCGUGAAAAUUCAUCUGAACUAAAUCAUGUAGAUCUAACUAUAUCUUAGAUUAAAUUAGUUUAGAAAAUAAAAAUUUCUAAGCUGAAGUAUGUGUUGGUUUUUCCAAGGUUGUAUGUGACUUUUUUUUUUUUUUUUUUUUGAGAGAUAGGUAGCACGCUAUUCGUUUCGUUUAUUUUAUUUAGAAAUAAACUUAGUUGAAAAUAUGAAUCAACUAUAAUUCGAAUUUGAGACCUCGAACGCUAACCACCAAAUCCUUUGCCACUUACUCUAGGGACGGUCGGUGGUUGUAUGUAAUUUUUCUAAAACUGCAAAGUGCACAAAAUAUCUCCAAAUAUUUCUGUAGAUAGUAUGUAUCGAACAAAAAUAAUUUACUUGAAGAUAACUAUCUAAUAAUUUAAAUUUAAAUUUUAAUGUUUAACUUUCCAAUUUAUUUGAUUGGAAUCAUUUAAGCUAUCUUAAUACUUGU